rnacentral:lncRNA from 1 species
CUCAACUUUGUGCAAACUUUAGUACAAAGUUGUACUACUACUAAAGUUGACACUUAUUUUGGAACAGAAGCAGCUAAAGGAAAAACGAUCCAUGCAGUCCCUAGCCCUUGAACCGUGAACCCUGACCAGGCUUCAAUUUGCUGGCAACGUUCGAGCUUCCUAAUAAAUGAAGUUUGCAACCUUUUGACCAUCGGAUCAUUUUGUGCAGUUUCACCAAAAUCGAGAUGAGCAUCCCUGUGGCUAAGAAAUUGAAGAAGCAUGAUUAGAAUAAGAUUACUGGGACUAGUUAAUGAGACAUAAACUCAUCACAAAUACAGUACGUAGAAGCCAGUAGAGGUAUGUGCGGGGCAAAGAAGUAGAGAAAUAUCCACAGGGAGUGAUGUGGGCAGCUGGAGCAGUGGUGCAAGCCGGCUGUAAAGGGAGUUGUACCUGAGGGACGUAGCUCAACCUUGAGGAGGGCGGCGGGAGGCGGCAACUGCCCACGUCGCGGCAGUGAGCAAGGGACGAAGGCAACCUCACCGGCUUUGUGAGAGAGAACGGCGGGGACCCCUGAUCGGGACGUGCCGACAGUGGGUUUUCGCCGUCGGCGACAGCCACCGCAUCUACACUAAGCAUCCACCCCUUCCCCAAGCGGAUGUGAUCCGCCGGGAUGUUAGAGAUGUGGCCACAGUCGUUUUGUGCGAGAGAGUGUGAAGAGAGCAACCCCAGCAAGCAACCGUGUAGGCUGGCCCGUCCUGACUAUGUAUAUAGUGGAGCGGUUUCCUUUUCUCUCCAUAUGAACCUAUCAUAUUGCAUACGUGCCACUGAAGAAAAAAACUUUAUUUAUAAAUGACGCGGCACCUACUACUCGUUCUCCUAUAACCUUGCGCUCGGCAUAUCCAAAAUAUUAACCUUGCGAUUGGCUCUUCGCCUCUUCGGAAAGUCAAGCAAUAAUUGUAGUGCAGUAUAUAUCGUUCUGGCUAUAUGAGACCGAAUGAAUUGUUGCACGUCCACCACGUGGGCAAGGGGCGAGGGAGAGUGCUACAUACGGAGCAAAAUGAGUGAAUCUACACUCUAAAAUACGUCUAUAUACAUCAGUGUUUGGAGUAUGUACUAGUAGUUCAUAUUGAAAUCUACUAAAGGACAUAUAUAUUCCAAACAAUAUGAUAUAAUCUCUAUAACCAAGGUAGUAGGGACGAGGAGUAAACGGAGGGAGUAGUAAAUUUUUCUCCUCGUCCUGCGAGCCACCGCGCGCAUGGGCGAGGGAGCGGGCGUAAGGCGGAGCAAGCUUCACCUCAUCCUGCGAGCCACCGCGCCCGUGGGCGGGGGAGAUGGCGUACUAAGCAAGCUUCUCCUCGUUCUGCGAGUUGACGGGACACAUCAAAAGUACUCCAGUGUAUAGAGCCUUGCCUCUAAGGUAGGCCCCACAUGGUUUGCCUCUUUUUUUAACAUAACACGUCAAGUCGCAAUUUGUUUGUUCACCCGUGGUAGACAAUCCUCCCUCCACCAAGUGGACAACCAGUACACGUGCCAAAUUACCAUGUGGGCUGCCUUUUUCAUACAGAAAUGAGCUCCACCGUGUACCCGCGCGGGUGUGGUUGGGAAAGAGACGGGAGUACGUGCGCCGAUCAUGCACCUCUUCUCUUCGUGCACGUCCCCCACCUACGUGGGUGUGUGUGAGAGAUNNNNNNNNNNNNNNNNNNNNNNNNNNNNNNNNNNNNNNNNNNNNNNNNNNNNNNNNNNNNNNNNNNNNNNNNNNNNNNNNNNNNNNNNNNNNNNNNNNNNNNNNNNNNNNNNNNNNNNNNNNNNNNNNNNNNNNNNNNNNNNNNNNNNNNNNNNNNNNNNNNNNNNNNNNNNNNNNNNNNNNNNNNNNNNNNNNNNNNNNNNNNNNNNNNNNNNNNNNNNNNNNNNNNNNNNNNNNNNNNNNNNNNNNNNNNNNNNNNNNNNNNNNNNNNNNNNNNNNNNNNNNNNNNNNNNNNNNNNNNNNNNNNNNNNNNNNNNNNNNNNNNNNNNNNNNNNNNNNNNNNNNNNNNNNNNNNNNNNNNNNNNNNNNNNNNNNNNNNNNNNNNNNNNNNNNNNNNNNNNNNNNNNNNNNNNNNNNNNNNNNNNNNNNNNNNNNNNNNNNNNNNNNNNNNNNNNNNNNNNNNNNNNNNNNNNNNNNNNNNNNNNNNNNNNNNNNNNNNNNNNNNNNNNNNNNNNNNNNNNNNNNNNNNNNNNNNNNNNNNNNNNNNNNNNNNNNNNNNNNNNNNNNNNNNNNNNNNNNNNNNNNNNNNNNNNNNNNNNNNNNNNNNNNNNNNNNNNNNNNNNNNNNNNNNNNNNNNNNNNNNNNNNNNNNNNNNNNNNNNNNNNNNNNNNNNNNNNNNNAGACAUGACUAGAGCGCUCGAUGUAUCGGUGUGUGUGGGGGGAGGGGGUGGGGGGAGGGGUAGGCAGAGGCCUAACUAUAGAGGUAGAACGACUCAUAUAUGUGUUGAGAAGGAGAGACCCAGCUAUGUCUUGAGGGAGAUCGGUCGACAUCCAUACAUAACUGAAGGACGGGAAAUAUGAUGGGAUAGAGAGAGAGAGGAGAGAGAGGGAGGGAGAGGGAGGGAGAGGGGUAGAGUGCUGGAUGGGUGAUGGAGUUGCUUCUCGAAGAUGGUGGGAGAGGCCUACUAGACAAACUGAGGGUGGAACUGCAAUGUUAUCAAUAAGAGUGGGGAUGUGUUUCUGUGUGUGCCUGUGCGUGAUAGAUCUGUCGGGACGCAUCCAUGGAUGACGAAGGGGAACCAUGUGUUUGGUAAGCAAACCUAACUAGAUCGGUAGAUCAAUUGUUGUUUGUCGGAGGAAGGGAGAGACACAACUAAUGAGGUAGAUCGAUUGACGUGUGGGUAAAAACGAGUUAUAAGGACCUAGCUAGCUAUAUGUAUAGCAAGAGGUCGGUCGGUGUACGUCCAUUUGUUAGAGGCAAAUAAGGCCCAGCAAGAUGGAUAGACAGAGAGAAUGGAGCUAGGAGGUGGUGCGAGAGGCCCAACUACUAGCUAGAUAGGGGGAGGAGUGUGCGGUUGUGAGAUCGAUGAAAAGAGGGGCGAGAGUUUACACGUGUGUCUGACCGUAUGAGAGACACGAGGCAAGGACACAUAAAGGAGGAGAUUGAAGGUGUGUGUGUAUGUUGUAGGCAGGCAUCGCUGGAGAGGUUUAUCGAUCGGUGUGUGCCGGAAAGGAGUUGUGGAGACUCUGGGAGAACGACCUAAAGAAAAAAUGAAUGUGCCCGGUGGAUAGAAUGCCGAGGGAGGGGGAGGGCGAGGAGGGCGUGUGCAUGCAUGAGAGAAAGUUAGUGGUAGCUACAAAGGUUAGAGGAUUGUGUGGGUGUAUCAGACUAACAAAGAUCAUAAUUUGAUAUGAAAGCGGAUUCAUAUAUUUGAAUAGGAGAUCAUAGUGUUUUAAACAUUGCAUGCAUGAAUAUAGCGGUGAUACACGUCUUGUGCACAUGUUAUACCAUAAUGUGAUAAUGCAUGGCGUUUGCAACUCACAACUAAAUGCCGAACAAUCUAAACCAUACUAUACAUCAAACAAUCUCACAUUUUAUUUGAAUUUGUGAUAAUGUGUGGCGUUUGCAGCUUACAACUAAAUAUCGAACAAUUUAAACAAUACUAUAUAUCGAACAUUCUCACAUUUUAUUUGAAUUUGUGGUAAUGUGUGGUGUUUGCAACUCACAUCUAAAUACUUAUAGGCGUAGGGGGCGGGGCACCAUACAUAAUGUGAUAAACACAUUAUACAUAUGAGACAUGGUUUAGAUUAUGAAGAUCUAGCUAGAGCUAGAAAUGUAAUGUGAUUUGAAAUCAAAAUAAAGUGGAUCCAAAAAAUCUAGUUCGAGUUCAUAUAGUACACAUAGUUCAUAUGUAACUCGAGACUAAUCAUGUGGUGUGCUGUGAAGAUAAUACACAAACGAUGGUUUAACUUGACAAUAAUGAUGAUUGUAGAUCUUAUUAAAACAGAGAAAUGAAUUCAAAUGCUUUGACUUCACAACAAUCAUUACUGUAGAUCUUAUUCAAAUAGAGAAACAAAUUCAAAUUUAGUUCAUAUUGAAGCGGUAGUAUAUACGUUUGGAAUGCACUAAAACGUUCAUUUGAGUAGUAGGUUGCAUGCAUUAUACACGUAGCGAAAUAUUUUAAUUGAAUGUAACAUGAAUUCAAAGUCUUGAAUGACAUUUGUAGUGCGCAUUGAUUUGGUACAGUACACGUUAGGCUUGUCCGGAAAUUUCAACCCGCGCCUUGUUAGCCCGAGAUAUUUAAGAUAUAUCUUUGUCUCGUUGUGCUCCGACAACUCCCUCCAUCUCAACCCGUGCCUUGCUAUUCCGAAAUUACAACGCGCGCGAAAACUCCCACCUCAUGUGAAAUCCCGACACGCGAAAUGCCCGUGGUACCCCUAAACCGAAAGAACCGCCUCAAAUCGGUGGGGGUACUUUUGUAACUUACCCCACAUUUCGGACAAGCGCGUCUCUAAGCCAUGGUUCCCCACUGCCAUCCCAUCCGCCCACCCAUUCAUACACCGAGGCCGCGAAAACCCGCGACGAAACCCCACACCCUGCUCCGUCCGCCACCCAGCCGGAGCCUCUUCCCCGACGACGUCGUCCACAGCAACACCUCGACGUCCCUCUACCGGAAGAGGAUCCGUCGUCGAUCUCAUCGUCCCGCCGGUUCAGCCACCCCGUCCUCCACCUCCAAGGAGGUGCCCCGACGUUCCCCUCGUCUUUCGCGCCACCUCCGUUCCCACACCGCCGUCUUCACCUGCACCACCGGAAGAGCAUCAUCAUCACCGUUUCCUCGGAUGAAGCUGCGGCCUAAUCGGCGCCACCAAAGAGGUUGUACACCAAUCACCGCAUUUUCUUCUUGAUUCGAUCUCACGGUGCUGUCGGCGCUCGGUCCCGAGCUGACACGGCGCGGCUCCAUCCACGGUGGCGACGUCCACAUCAGUAGGAACUGCUGCUGCUUUAGCUCUCGCUCGCGCUGCUGCUCUGCUCUUGCUCUCGGUCCCCUGCCUGGUCUGCUCUUGCUAUUGCUCUUGCUCGCGCUGCUGCUCUUGCUCUUGCUUGCGAUGCUGCUCCGAUUUAGCUACACUUCAGUCGACUGAAUCGACUUUUGGGUCAGUCGAUUUUCAGGGGGUGGGUGGGCUCGCCGGGGUGAAGGAAGAACCAGCCGCAGCGGGGAGGAGGGCUCGUCGGAGAGGUACCCCACUAUCUAUCUUAGGGUUCAGGAUGGGGGCGGUGGUCGCCGGCGGUGGCGGGGCGUUGGCAGGGCGGUGGCGUGGGGAUCGCCGGAGAAAAAGCUCGGCACGGGGGGGCCUAGAGGAUGGCCGGGGCGCCGGCGGACCGGCGGUGGGGAGUGUUUUCGGGGCGGGCGGGGCGGCGCACCGCCGGCCGCGGGCGGCGGGGGCUGCUGUUUGGCCGGUGGUGGCUGGCAGCUCAGGGGGGUGGAGGUUGAAGAUGAACUGCAGGCCCUUGAUUUCGUAUCCAACGGCUGCAAAAUCGACUGACCAGAGAUGAAAAAGUCAGUCGACCGACGUGUAGCCUCACCUUGCUAGUGUGUUCAGUUUCGACACCAAAAUUCAGUUUCGACAGCAAAAUUCAGUUUCGACAGUUAAGUUCAGUUUCGACAGUUAAGUUCAGUUUCAACUGUUCAGUUCAGUUUCGACAGUUAAGUUCAGAGAUGAGCGGCUGAUGUAUUUUACAUCUAGCACUUUGUGGUUAUGUAUUUUACGUCAUGUAUUGGAGAUGUUAUUAGAAUUCCACUCAGGUUAACGUUGUUCGUUGUCUCUCUUGUCCUGCUUCAGCCUCGGCGUCGUACAACUCACCGGAGCUGCUCCAACGACGAAACCCUCCAUCAUACCGGAGCAGUACCUCAGGCUCCAUCUCCAGACGCCUAAGAUCUUCUUCCUCUCCUCCGACAGCAAAGUCAGCCGGAGCAUCCUCACCGGCCAACCCAAUCACGCUGAGAUCGACAUGGCUUCGCCAAAGAGGUUGUACACUUGUUGCAUCUCUUUUUUACUCUACAUGUUAUAUAUAUUUUCCACUGAGCACACGGAUUUGUUCCUUUAGUGUCUCCUUGAAAGAAAAAACAUAGGAAUUUUAAUUUUCACUUGUCCUCCUUUUCAAAUUCCUAUUCAUGAAGCACAAGACUAAGAGAUAGUAGCAUAAUAGCAUUAUAACCGUACAUUUUCUUGUGGUUUGACUUAAUCUCACCAUGCUUCUUUGCAUCAUGUGAUCUUCCAAUUGUUGUGAAUCAAACACCCAGAUUGGCAGAAAUCCUGUGUUUUUAAAUUCUCUGUUUUGCACGUGCAUUCCUAUCCUAUUCCUGUCUAUUUCCUAUCCCUGCAUUGUUGGAAUCCUCCAAUUCAAACGAGCCCUUACAGAAUUACUUCUCUUACAGAUAGUUGUCAAAGAAAACCUUGCGUGGUUCGUCCCGCUCCUGCUGCGCCGUCGUCCACCCCAGCUCAGCUGCUCCAACGACAGAAGGGUCCACCACAGCAGGGAUCCGGCCUCCAGACUGUCUUUCGCUGCCUCAGAUCUUCUUCCCCGCCGCUGGCAGCCAUGAAAACUGCAUUACCAUCAUCAACCGAGCAGAUGACCUCGAGGACUACACGGGUCCGCAAGAGAGGUCGCACUCUUUCGUGUCUGCUUACGUUAUGCAUCGCUUAAUAUUACAUGCUACUUUAUCGUCCUGUUCACCGAUUAGACUCUGAGUCAGCUCCAAACUAAUGGUCAAACUUGAGUUUUUAAAUGGUUGUGGGGUACAUAUCGGGGCCGCUAUCAAUAGUAUCUAUCUACUAUCUGGUUAAUCUCCUGUGUCUACUAUGAGUUUCAUGUUGUGUGGGAAACAAACAGUAAAGAAGCCAUUAUCUGUAUUUUUUAACUGAAGCCAUUAUCUGCCUGCUAUUAUUGGUUUUGGGUCUAUCCACAGGUUGCUACCAUCACUCUGGAUUUCUGCAUGCACACCUUACAUAAUCUCUCUAUGUUUUAUUCCUAUGCAUGACAGUUAUUGUAAACAAUGGAACUGAACAUGUAGAGCAAAAGAGACGAGCCUUGUGUGGCAAUAAAACUUCAUGCAGACGUCGCUCCAUGGUAGGCGCAAAGGCAGCCCCCGUCCACGCAUUCGGAUUGUAAUCGAGAGGAAGAUAUCUGUUCUGAGGGUUAUUCAGAAGGAGAAGACAACUCCUAUUUACCCCCUGAGGUCUUCGCUCUAACUUGGCAUGCUGAUGUUGGUUAUAUCAUGCAUAUGGUGUCUUACAUUGCUUACUUUAUACAUCAAAUAUGUCAUCUGCUUAGUUUAGACAUCCUUUGUGCGAAUGCCAUCUGUUUAGUUUAUUCAUCGUUUAUGUGAAUUAUGCAACGCCAUCUUGUUUAGCCAGGCAUCAUAUAUGUGAAUUUUGCAAUGCCAUCCUGCUUAGCCAGUCAUCUUAUAUGUAAAUUAUAUCAGGCCAUCCUUUUUUCGUUACAUAUUACAUUUGUCAACAAUGUUAGUACAUUCAACUGCUCUUCGUGUGCAUCAGCCAUUUGACACGGUGAUGGCAAAUUCUAGAGUGAAAACAGGGUCUUCAGAGCAGACUAUGCUAUCUGACGAAGCGCAUAUCUCGCUGGUUACGGAUAGCUCCUCAGAGGAGGAUUCAGAGACAGAUGACCAGUCCUAUUCCCCCCUCCCCCCGAGGUGUAUGCUCUAACUUGGCAGGGUUAUGUUGCUCAUAUCGUGCGUAUGGUGUCUCGCAUUGCUAUGUCAUUUGAUUAGUUUAGACAUGCUUUGUGUGAAUGCCACCUGUUCAGUGUCUAAUUACCAUAUAUGUGAAUUAUGCAUUGCCAUCUUGUUGCAAGACAUUAUAUAUGUGAAUUAUACAAUGCUAUCUUGUUGCAAAGCAAUUAUAUAUGUGAAUUAUGCAAUGCCAUGCUGUUUAGCCAAUCAUCAUGUAUGUGAAUUAUAUCAUGCUAUCAUUUUUUUGUAUUACGUGUUCCAUUUGUCGACAACGUUUGUAUAUUCAACUACUCUUCCUGUGCAUCAGCCAUUUGAAGCGGUGAUGGAAGUAUCUGGAGUGAAAACAAGGUAUUCAGAGCAGACAAUGCUACCUGUUGAAGCAGACAUCUUGCUGGUUACAGAGAGCUCCUUAGAGGAGGAUUCAGAGACUGAUGACCAGUCCUAUUUCCCCCCUGAGGUCUAUGCUCAAACUUGGCAGGGUUAUAUUACCCAUGUCAUGCAUGUUGUCUUGCAUUGCUUAGUUUUUACAUCAUAUAUGGAUUGCCAUAUGCUUACUUGCUUACUAUAUAAAUCAUAUAUUUGAAUUAUAUCAUGCCAUCAUGUUUACAUAGUACAUACACAUCAUCUAUCUGAAUUAUGGCAUGGCAACCCAUUUAAUAAAGACAUCAUAUAGUUAUAUCAUCUCAUCCUGUUUAGUGUUUACAGACAUCAUAUUUUGAAUUAUGGCAUUCUAUCCGUGAAUGUAUGUGAAUUAUGGCAUGCCAACCUAUUUAAUAAACACAUUAUAUAGUUAUGUCAUGUCAUCCUGUUUACAUAGUCUCAUAUUUUGAACUAUGUCUUUCCAUCUUUUUUAGUUAGCCGUCAUAAUGUGAAAUUGUGUCAUGCUAUCCUGUUUAGUUAGCCAUCAUAUAUGUGAAAUUGUGUCAUGCUAUCCUGUUUGGUUAGACAACAUAAAUAUGAAUUAUUUCAUGCCCUCUUUUAUUCCCCACUAUCCAUUGCACCUCUCUAUCAUACAAUGUCUAUACUUUCAAUUACUUUUCUUGUUUAUCAGCCAUUUGAAUUGGAGAGCGUGAUGACAGUAUCUAAGGGAGUAACAACACGGUCUUCAGAAAAGAUAGUGCUGCCAGUUGAUGCAGAUAGAACCACGGUUGUACUUGCCCAAGGACCAGAUCCACCACACAUAACCCAGACUCUCGCAGAUUGUACCCCUACCCAGUUGGACAGAGAACCAGCUACACCCCUUCUAACCCCAACCCCGACAGAUAGUAACCCAGUUCCAGUUGACACAGCACCGUCUCCACCACAGAGCACCCAAACACGAGCAGUUAGUAAGGGAACUGCAGUGCCCAAAGCACGAGGACCACCACUCCGAAUCCCAACUCAACGCUUAAAGGAGAAGAAGAUUUGUUCUUAGGUCAGGUUCUGUAGCUAUGGUUCAUACUCCUUUGCUCUUGCAUUACUGUAUUUACUCAUACCAACUAUUUUCAAAUUUGAAGGAUGGAAUUGAAACUCCAAUGGCGCAACAGGUAUGUUUUAAACCUGUUUCUUUAACUGGUUUGCUGUUGUAACCUGCUCUAUGUUGAUUUCAGUUUCAAUUGAAUAAACAGUUAUGUUCUCAUGUCAUGCACAUUACAAGUGUUGUUAUUGCUCUAUAGUUACCCACACUUAUAUUCUGUCUAUUCUGCUUUGUCUUGAAUAAAUAUUAUUUGAACUGUGUCUCUAUCUUGAUUUGGCAACAAAAACUAGAAUGAUAUAGACCAUAAAGUGACCAUGGUACGUAGAUAUAUGUUUGUUUCAUGCUGUUAUCCUGUCCACUUUACUACUGAACUCAUUUACCAAAAUGAAUUUCAUAUACAACAUGGUAAACAUGUGAUGUGUCUGCUUGUUUCUCUUUUAGAAUGCGGACAAAAUAUUGGAGAACAGUACCGCGUUAUCCAAUGGUAAAGGAAGUAAUGCAGAUAAGGUUCAAGAUAGUGAGACAUCCCUGUUGGUCUCCAAGAAAGCUGAUAAAAACUAUCUUGACGACAGUGAGGGAACCCAAAAGUCCUGUCUUGAUGUAGUGUUCGAGUUACUGGCCACUACUGCUGGCACAAGCUCUUCGAACUCGCUGCCUGAAUCAGUUCGUCUUCUUGAGUCUCAACUUCAAGUUGAAAGACAUCGAUCAGAUGUGCUGCGACAGGAAGCUGAAGGACUAAGGAAGUCCCUGCAGAAUUCAGAUGCAUAUUUUCUGGUGCAACAGCAAGCGCUGGAGGAUUUAAGCGCCAAACAAGAGAAAGUUAAUAAGCUUGCUAAGCAUCUUGCCAGCAUUAUGGGUACCCAGGAUAUUGUUUCUUGAGAUCUUCUGAAGUGGUUUUAGUUCUGGAUUUGUUUUGCUGCGGCGUUUAUUUGCGCUGGUCGCCAACUUUGACAACCAGUGUAUAUGAUAUGCUGCUUUGUUCCCUAUAUUUGCACUGGUGGCGAACUUUGAUGCCAAGUGGAUGUAAUAUGUGUAAUAGCCGUGAUAGCCUAGCGUUAGUUGUUUGCUUAUUUAUUUCCUUAUUGUCUUGUUUAUUUGUUUGAUUGUAGUCAUUGCAGUUCUUUUUCCGCGGUUAGCUAGUGGCUGCAAUAACCUAUUUUUUAAAACUAGGCCACAAUAACCAUGGGCUAAUAUUUACUGUAGUGACACUGGGCCUCCUACUGGCCGUAGAAACAGUGGGCCUUCUAUGGGCCGUAGAAACAAUGGGCCUUCUACGGGCCGUAGAAACAAUGGGCCUUCUGUGGGCCGUACCAUCAAUGGGCCUUAUACGGGCCGUAUGAUCGAUUGGCCAAACAUGGGCCAAACAGACCACAUUAUGGCUGUAAACGGGCUAGAGUUGGAAUCGUCCGUUCAUGGGCCGACCAUAAUGGGCCAUCGUAAAUAGGCCGUAUUUGAUGACGCUAUGAAAACGGCCCAACGUAUUAACGGACCACAAACGGGCCGAUUGUAACCACGGGCUGAAUUUGGCCCACAAGCAGAAAAUGACAGUAACGGGCCGUAAGUAAACGAAUGCUGGAAAUGAGCCCAAGAAUAAAUGGGCUCUGAGAAGGCCGAAAGAUAACAUGGGCUGGAAACGGCCCAACGGAAUAACGGGCCGUUAAUGGGUAUAAAGUGAUACACUGUUCAUUACGGGUCAGUUUCACCACGGGCCGUUAAUGGGUGUAAAGUGAUACACUGUUCAUUACGGGCCAGUUUCACCAUGGGCCGUUAAUAGGCCAAGAGUUACAUAGGGCCUCAUAUGGGCCGAAAGACGUCAUGGGCCAUACAUGCGCCAGAAGUGAAAAUGGGCUGGAAUCAUAUUGGAUGGGCCAGAUGACGCUACUAGGCCUAAUUCGGAUAGGGCGUAACGGGCCUUGGGUUAGCGGGCUGUAAAUGGGCUAUAUGCGAAUAGGUCGUUAACAGGCUUUCCAUGGGCCGGCCCACCACCUUUUGACCAAGUCAAACGGGCCGGCCUUUUCACAGGAAUGGGCCUCUGUUGGGCCGUGCCACGUGUCGACAUAUCAUAGGCGCCUUCCGUCCAAUGAGUGGAUGACAUCUGUCCCAACGAUGAGCUGACACGUGUUUCCUCCAGCCAAUGAUGAUUUUACACGUGGAAAAUCCCCAUUGGUCUGGGCUGUUAACGGGUUAUCGGAUCCAAAACCCGACCCGAUAGCUUAACGGCGUUCCGUUACGGUGGAUGCCACAUGUCGGUCACCCUUGACGAAAGCACUUCUGUGACACGCGAUUUAUCGUCAUGGAAGUGGACACUUCCGUGAUGAUAAUUUUGGUAAUGUCAUGGAACACUUCUACGACAGCACAGGUAUGACUAUCUUGAUUCUGUCAUAAAAUCAUCAUGGAUGUACAUGCAUGACAAAAAACGCGACCUACUGUGACAAACACGUAUCAUCACGGAAGUGUAUUUUUUUUGUAGUGCAACCUUGAGCAUCCAACACAAGUUCAACUACAUGAUCAAGAUCAACACCACAACCCAAGCAUGUCAAUCCAUCUUACAGAAGCUUUGUCCCAAGUCAUGAGUCAAAGCAAUUCAACCAGAUGUGAAUACAUCAAAAUGCUUAAAUGAAAAAUAGUAACCCCAUUUUGAGCUUAAGAGAUGAGUAUGACCUGCGAUCAAGUGUUAUCACUUGACUCCUCAAUCAAUAAACUCUAACAUAGGUAACUUUGUCGCCGACCCCUUCUAGAUGAAGUUCUCUAGGGUUUCUUUGUGUUCUUGCAUAUAUUUCUUGCUAUGUUGUUUAUUUUUUCAAAAAAAACUUCAUCUAUAUCUCUUUUCUUAUGUAUGUUUUUCUCCGUAUCUUCUGUAUCUAAUUCAUUGCAAAUUCCUCAGUUAAUUCCUUGCAAAUCCUUGUGAGAUUUAACCUACCAAGUGAGCAGAGUUGACAAAAAAAAUUCCUCUACAUUGAACUCGGACUCACCGAUCCAAGUCUAUCGGCUAGACCGAACUACAAGGAUAUCUUGUAGGCAGUUCAUCGGUACAACCGACAUGGACUACCCGGUUUAACCAAUAUGCAUCAUCCAUGACACUGCCAAAUCGGUGUCACCGAUGGAAACGGAUCGGCGUUACCGACUUCACUGAUGAGAAAACUUUUUGCCAUUGCUUUCUUCAUAUUUAAUUUCAUCUCCAGCUCCACUCAAUGAUUAUUAUCCUCUAUCCGCAUCUUAAACUACAUACCAUCUUGUAGUGUAUCUCAAGGACCAAACCUAUUUGACUCAUGCUCCAGCGGUACCCUUCUUGGAAAUUGAUGUCAAAGGGGGAGAGAGAGCACAUCAAAGCUUAUUACAGAUGCUUCACAUAUGCUCGUUGACAAAAGAGGAGAGAAGUCACAUGUCUUUAAGAGGGGUGUCGGUGUCAAAACCGGCGGAUCUCGGGUAGGGGGUCCCGAACUGUGCGUCUAAGGUCGAUGAUAACAGGAGACGGGGGACACGAUAUUUACCCAGGUUCGGGCCCUCUUGAUGGAGGUAAUACCCUACUUCCUGCUUGAUUGAUCUUGAUGAAUAUGAGGGUUACAAGAGUUGAUCUACCACGAGAUCGUAAUGGCUAAACCCUAGAAGUCUAGCCUGUAUGAUUAUGAUUGCCUCUAUGGACUAAACACUCCGGUUUAUAUAGACACUGGAAGGGCCUAGGGUUUGUACAGAGUCGGUUUACAAAGGAAGGAAUCUACAUAUCGAACGCCAAGCUUGCCAUCCACGCAAAGGAGAGUCCCAUCCGGACACGGGAGGAAGUCUUCUGUUUUGUAUCUUCAUAGCCCAUUAGUCCGGCCCAUGUUACAUAGUCCGAACGCCCGAGGACCCCUUAAUCCAGGACUCCCUCAGUAGCCCCUGAACCAGGCUUCAAUGAUGAUGUGUCCGGCGCGUAGAUUGUCUUCGGCAUUGCAAGGCGGGUUCCUCCUCCGAAUACUCUAAAACAACCAUCGAAUACAGCGAACGUGUCCGGCUCUGCAAAACAAGUACCACACACACCCGUAGAGAGUAUAAUAUUUCACGAGUCCAAUCUACUGACACCUUUUGUAGUGUGACAUCACGUCGCCGCCCGAUCAUUAUUCCGAACCGUUAUUCUUAGCCUCCCGCUCCACGUUUCAAGAUGUGGUUUCAUUGCCACGUCUCGUCGAAGCAGAGAUCGUGUCCCCUUAUUGCGGGAUUCUCAUCAAUACAGGCGUGGGUAAUGCAACCGCGCCGUCUGCACGGCCCUUGGGGAAUCGGCGAGUUUUAAGGCGAGUGGGGUGGCGCUUCAUAUUCGCUGCCUUUAUAAGGAGAUAAGGAUUCACUCUUUCACCCACGCCUUCCUUCUCCCAGCCCACCCAUUCUCGAGCUCCAGCGCCCAAGCUUCCAUCCUCUCCACCUCAAAAAAUCACUCCAGCCAUGUCCGGAUCUGGAGCGCAGGGCAAGUGGAUGGUUUCCUCCGUCAAGGAAAAGGACAUCACCAAGCUCCGGGAGGCUGGGUACUUAAGCCCAGGAAAUCGCCCACCGGCUUCCAGCAAAGGGGCAGAUCAUCCCCAUCCCGGAGCGCCAUGAGAGGGUGGUAUUCAUCCCCCACUUCGUCCGCGGAUUGGGAUCCCUCUCCACCCAUUCGUCCGCGGACUCAUGUUCUACUACGGGCUGGAUUUCCACGAUCUGGCCCCCAACUCCUUCCUCAACAUCUCGGCAUUUAUUGUCAUGUGCGAUGCCUUCCUCCGCAUCCCACCCCACUUCGGAUUGUGGUUAAAGAUCUUCAAUGUGAAGCCGAAGGUGGUGGGAGGCCAACAUGCAGAGUGCGGAGGCGCCAUGGUGAGCAAGAUGCCCAACGUCGCAUGGCCCAAAGGUACCUUCAUGGAGACCGUCAAAGGGUGGCAACAGCAGUGGUUCUACGUCAUAGAGCCUCGCGACACCACCUGGGCCGCGGCUCCCGAAUUCCAGUCCGGAGCCCCAAUGCGGCUCACCGCCUGGCUAGAGAAGGGCCUGGACUGGUCUUCAUCGGACGAACUGUCAGCGCUUCAGACGCGCAUCCAGAGCAUGGUAGACAAGAAUAUCAAGCUUGUCAAUGUGAUCCAGGUGAUGCUUGUUCACCGGAUCCUUCUGUGCCAAAGCCGGACUUGCCAUUUGUGGGAGUUCGAUCCAGCCGAGCACCAGACCUUGCAAAAGUUCUUCGGCACUACGCACGAAGACAUCUGGAAGGUGCUCUUUAAGGCCAACGAGACGUGGCCGGCGACGAGCGAGGACCGUGGGCACGACCUGGCCCAUCCCGCCAGUCCAGUAAGUUUUUCGUAUUUCAAGGUGUAUCCUUUACUCGCAUACUCAAGGAAGACGCCUAAGCUUCCCUAUUUGUUUUUUCAGGGCUGGACAAAUAAGGCGGACCGGAUUCAGUGUCCGGCUUCGCUACCCGAAAACCCAGCAAUCCCACUUCUGAUGAAGAUGAUGGUUCCGGCGCCCUACCAAGCGCCGGAGAAGAAGGCCAAGGAGACCAGAAGUGGCCUCCGCCGUAGAGGCACUUCGGACGUUACGUCCGAAGACGCCGAGACCCACUCCUCCCCCUCCAAAGAUGAGGAGGAGGAGGAGGAGGAAAGCAACUCUCCCCCGGAGGGGGGAAAAGAAGAAAAGAACGGCCUCCACGCAUCUGGAGGCAGAGGCGUCCAAGAAGGGGAAGGUCUCCCUCGCGGAUAACUCCGCAUGGGACAUCGACAGCAGCUCCGAGUGGUGCCCCAAGGAUAAGCCCCUGGCCUAUUCAUAAGUACUCAAAGACGCGCACAUAUAUCCAGCUCCUUUAUUCCAUGGUUUUGACAUGUUGACAUGCACCACUGGUGCGCGUCGGUCCUAAACAAACGGUUUUUUACCCCUUUCCGCGACGGCAUUUGGAACCGUCGCCAAGUGAGUGUGGGCGUUAGGGGGUCCUUCCCACACGACCCAGAAACCGUCGGGGAUAUGCCCUCCUGGCACACACGUUCGGCAAAAUGAGGUCGUGUGCGACCGGCAAGCACUCAAACACGGAAAUACGUACCGUAGAGCUAAAAAAAUACAAUUAUACGACGAAAUUGUUUCCGGUCGCAAGUACAUCCCACACAGUCAGUCCCCGCUAAACGUUUCCGUUCGUAUGCACAUCCCACACAGUCGCUCCAAGGAAAAUGUUUCCGUUCAUAGGUACAUCACACACAAUUUUUCCCGUUAAAUCGUUUGCGUUAUUGAAUGUACCACACACGGUCCGUAGAAGAAACUGUGUGGCAAAGGCUGUCCAUGCCACACAGUUUUUAUGUGGUAAACGUUUGCGCAUGGUGACCUAACGCAAACAAUUUUCAAGAGAAAGUCGUGUAUGAUUGUUCAUUGAUCCAACACGGUUUAUUCCUAGAAACUGUGUGCGUUGCCUGAGGUCAUCGCCCACGGUAUUUUUUUCAACAACCGUUUGCAAUAUCAAAACCCAAUUAGCAGGCUAAUUCACCAUUAGCAGGAUAAUUGCCCUAUUAUUAAUAAUCAAUUUAUUAAUCUAAUUGACAUUCAUAUUAAGCACACAAUAUAUUUCAUUUCCAUAUUAAGGAAGCAGAAUUUCAUAAUUGAAAUACAUCAGAGUACAACAUGAUAUAGCUUCAGCACUCAGCUACCCCAUUACACAACUGCACCAGCAGCAAGUUCCACAUGCAACAUGUAGAACCUUUCGAAAUUAGCAUCAUAGAUGGUAUAUAGACAAAUGCAUCUCCUCUGGAAAACUGCUGAAGCGGAAGGCAAAUAUUGAGCCUUCAUUCAUGUUGAAGGUCUUUGCAACUUUAGGCCAGUGCCUGUGGAUGAUUGACCGUCCGUCCUUCGUCCUCUUCAGGAACACUUCAAUAUUGAACCGUGGGUGUUGUAUGAAAACCUUCCUCGCCUCCUGACCAUAGAGGUGGUUUGAGAGGUAAUCAUCACUGAACUGCUUUGGAAAGGCCUGAAAACAAGGAUGUGCAUAAAUAUCUUCUCUAUAUUGGAAAUGGGGCAAAGGAAUAAAAAAAGGCAAGGUAUAAUAGUUAGUACCAUCUUGUAGUGAACUGAUGUCUUCUUCAUUGUGCAGACAAAGAUCUUGUUGUUUUUUGUCGCUAAUUUCUUUAUCCUGACAAUCUUUCUGAGUUUCUUGAUUUGAUUGAUAUUCAUGGACAACUCAUUUCCCCAUAUGCAAAAAGGGUCGAACAGUGGGUCAAAACCUCUGACAGCAGGACCUACAUGUGCAAGACCAAAUUGUUAAAAACCAAAAUAUUAGAAUGGUUCCUGCAAUUGCACAAUAAAGUGCUAUUAGACAACAGACCAUGCACGUGCUAACCUCGAUUGUAAACCUCAGUGCUUCCCAUUGUUCCCUGCAACACUUAUAAGGUAGUUAGUCAUCAGGUUAAGUAAGGGUUCGCAUGCUAUCAGUAAAAUAUCUUGAUGAAAAAUAAGCACAUUGCAGAUUCAUCAGAUUAAUUGAAGCCACACGGAAAACCCAUUUACCCAAACCAAGCAUGAUUAAGAACUAGGAAAUAUAGCACUUGUAUAUGUUUCUCAUGUAUUAAGUGUAGCCAAAUUCGAUUUAUUCCUCACAUGCACAACAAUACAAAAUUCUACCCACGACAAUUGGACAUCGCAUUGCAGAAUUGAACCAAGCAGUUAACUAAACACCACAACAAAUGAACCAAACAUUAACUGAGCACCACAUUGCACAAUAUAACAUUGAACCAAGCAGUUAACUAAACACCACAACAAAUGAACCAAACAUUAACUGAGCACCUCAUUGCACAAUAUAACAUACUCCUAAUAGAAGAUCAGAGAUUUAACCAAACAGUUACCUACAGCCAAUUGUAGCGAUUGUAUUUGUUUCUCAUGUAUUUACUACAGCCAAAUUCAAUUUAUUCCUCAUAUGGUAUACAAUAAGAGAAUGCACCCACAAUUUUGUAAAGAUAAAUUCGAUUUAUUUCUCACAUGGAAGACAAUACAAAAUUGCAGCCUGAAAAAUUGAACAUUACAUUUGCAGAAUUGAACCAAACAGUUAACUGAAGACGACAACUAAUUACAAAAUAGUUAAUAAGUGAGCACUACACUGCACGACAUAUAGAACAUAUACACUAGAGCAACAGAUUGCAUGGUGAAAUUAGAUAGCACAAUUCACUAGAUUUUGUGAAGGAAAGGCAGGAGCAGCACACGCAACAUGUAAACCGAGCAUGCUUAACCGGCGUAGUUAGCAAUUGUCAAGGUGCUCCUCCAAGAUCUGGGGGUCGGCACGAAUGGCAGCCAUCGCGACCUCAUCCGCGCGUGCGGCCGCGCUUUGCUACUCCGCUGCCAAAUGCUCCUUGAGGUCCUGGCUAUACUGCGUGCACCAUGGCUUAGGCCGGCGCUUAUUUGGUGGAGGGGUCGGUGAUUUGGGUGGAAGGUGUCGUGGUUGCGCCGGCGGUUGGGGCAUGUGGGAUCUGGAAGGAGCAGGAGGAUGGGGGUCGGGUGUGGAUUACCUGCCUGGAUAGAGGAGGCCGAACAGCGUGAAGGAGGGUCGCCGGCGAGGAGGCGGCAGCGCUGCAAGCAAGGAGUGAAGGUUUCAACUUGGAAAGGAAGGCGGAAAGAGGGGGAAUGUGGCUUUUGGUAAGGGAGAGGGGGCGGGGAAGUAGAUAUUUUCGCGGAAGCCGAAAAUUUGGAAUCGCUUCAGCCAAAAAACUGGCGCGCAAAGUGUCAUCAGACACGGUCCCUUAUUCAGAACUAUGAACGAUAUGUGGACAUCAUAAACGAUUCAGAUAGCUUAACCCGUGUGUGAUGUGUUUGAACGUCAAAAUUUUUGGUUCGAAUUUCCAUGGUUACAGUGGUCAUCCAGGUCAUUGCAUAAUUUGGGUACACAAAGGAGACUACAGCACACCCACACUUCUUAAUCGAGCAAGUUCAGCAAUUAAACAGAGCUAGCUGACCUAAACUUUACUCUAACAAAUUAAAGACCGGUGCUCUUAAUUAAAAAAAGAGUACUACUAUGGCUGGUGCUCGUCGAUCUCCGCCGCCGCCUCGAUGUCCAGCUCGCGCCCGACGGUCUCCUGGGGAAGGGGCUCCAUGGCAUCCAUCGCACCAUACUCGGCAAGCAUCUCGCCAUCCGUGUCCGCCAUCUCUUUGGAAAAGGCCGCCACGAGCUGGGCGUGGGCGGGCGCGAUCUGGGCUUGGACAGGCUCCGUCGUCGCAAGGUAUGCGGCAGAGGAAUGGACGGCUACUCGAACGCUCUCGGCGAUUGCCAGCUCUUCGGCAGUGGGUUGCCGACCGUUAUUGGAGAAGCUUCGUUCGAUUUGUGCGGUGACCGCCAGGAGCUGGGCGUGGGCGGCCUCCAUCAGGGCUAAUGCCGCCGCUGCAGAACGGACAGCUGUUGUGCGGCUGUCGCCGGUUGCUAUCCCCGAGGCAGAUGUUGCUGCCACCACCUGAGAAGCAACAGCAGCCAUUUGGGCUGCCUUUGCCGCCGGUCGCAAAUUGCGGUCGCGCUCAUGCACCUUAUUAGCAUGCGCAUGGCGGCUGCGGCCGCGCUCUUGCCGGAGUGGGCCACCGAAGUUGCCCUCACGACGCAGGUCCACGUGCCCAUCUUUCACCGACGAUGAUUGAAUAGUGAAAUGAUAUUUUGGGAGCGAGCUAGUGUGCUUGAGACACCGGCUGUGGACUGUAGACGACGCACCUUAUCGCGUAAGCCAUAGGCGUACUAUACACCGACGGUGCUCCAAGAAAUUUUGUACUACAUCUCACACGGUUGCUGACAAUAAACUGUGUGUGAUCUACUUGAUUUUUCAUCUUGAUUUGAAUUACAUAAUGGGGUCACAGGGGCAAUGGACGGUGUUUGAAUUGCUAGACCUUUUAUCUGGAGUGAACAUGCAACUAUAUGUGUGUCGUAAAAGAAUUGGAAUUAUUCAGGGUUCGUUUGAACAUUUUAUACAUUAAAUUGGUUUUCUAGCCAUUUCAGGUGAACAAUUCAAAUUUGAAAUAUAUGCACAUGCUCCAGUGCAUAUAAAUUGGUUGAAAAAUCAAAUCUAUGUCCUUGGGUGCAUGCUUAGGUCCCAUGCAAGAAAUGGGAAUGAAUUUCAAACACCAGGGCACCGUUGAUUGCGAGCAAAACAUUGAGAUGCCUGGUUUUUAAAUUCUAGUAAAUCCAAAGCUCGUCUGAAAUUCAUGAAACUUGGCAUGCUAUCAUGGAGCGGCAUCAACAUGCUGUGGUACAAAUUUUGUCCCAUUUGGGGCAGGUUUGGGUAUAUGCUUCUCACAAACCGAAGCUUCUCACAACAAGGAUGAUGAUUUUCGGUAGGGAACGUCCCACCUUUCGGGACAAACGAUACCCAUUGCCUCUUAUUGCUUUCAAAAAAAUCUCGUGUCAACAUAGAACAACAGGAGUGUUGUGUGAUUUUUGUGACUUUUCGGGGUUCGUUUGGACAUUUUUAUGCAUUAACUGAGUUUUCAAUGCAUUUUAUGUGCAUAAUUCAAAUUUGAACUACAUGCACAUGCUCCAGUGCAUAUAAAUUGGUUGAAAAAUCAAAUAUGUGUCCUUGGGUGCAUGCUUAGGUCCCAUGCAAGAAAUGGGAAUGAAUUUCAAACACCGGGGCACCGUUGAUUGCCGGCAAAACAUUGAGAUGCCUGGUUUUUAAAUUCUAGUAAAUCCAAAACUCGUCUGAAAUUCAUGAAACUUGGCAUGCUAUCAUGGAGCGGCAUCAACAUAUUGUGGCACAAAUUUUGUCCCAUUUGGGGCAGGUUUGGGUAUAUGCUUCUCACAAACCGGACCUUCUCACAACAAGCAUGAUGGUUUUCGGUAGGGAACGUCCCACCUUUGGGGACGAAAUGAUAUCCAUUGCCUCUUAUUGCUUUCUAAAAAAAAUCUCGUGUCAACAUAGAACAACAGGAGUGUUGUGUGAUUUUUUGUGAUUUUUCGAGGUUCGUUUGGACAUUUUUAUGCAUUAACUGAGUUUUCAAUGCAUUUUAUGUGCAUAAUUCAAAUUUGAACAACAUGCACAUGCUCCAGUGCAUAUAAAUUGGUUGGAAAAUCAAAUCUGUGUCCUUGGGUGCAUGCUUAGGUCCCAUGCAAGAAAUGGGAAUGAAUUUCAAACACCGGGGCACCGUUGAUUGCCGGCAAAACAUUGAGAUGCCUAGUUUUUAAAUUCUAGUAAAUCCAAAACUCGUAUGAAAUUCAUGAAACUUGGCAUGCUAUCAUGGAGCGGCAUCAACAUGUCAUGGUACAAAUUUUGUCCCAUUUGGGGCGGGUUUGGGUAUAUGCUUCUCACAAACCGGAGCUUCUCACAACAAGCAUGAUGGUUUUCAGUAGGGAACGUCCCACCUUUGUGGAGAAAAUGAUAUCCAUUGCCUCUUAUUGCUUUCAAAUUUUUUUCUCGUGUCAACAUAGAACAACAGGAGUGUUGUGUGAUUUUUUGUGAUUUUUCAGGGUUCGUUUGGACAUUUUUAUGCAUUAACUGAGUUUUCAAUGCAUUUUAUGUGCAUAAUUCAAAUUUGAACUGCAUGCACAUGCUCCAGUUCAUAUAAAUUGGUUGAAAAAUCAAAUUUGUGUCCUUGGGUGCAUGCUUAGAUCCCAUGCAAGAAAUGGGAAUUAAUUUCAAACACCGGGGCACCGUUGAUUGCCGGCAAAACAUUGAGAUGCCUGGUUUUUAAAUUCUAGUAAAUCCAAAACUCGUCUGAAAUUCAUGAAACCUGGCAUUGUAUCAUGGAGCGGCAUCAACAUGCCAUGGUACAAAUUUUGUCCCAUUUGGGGCAGGUUUGGGUAUAUGCUUCUCACAAACCGGAGCUUCUCACAACAAGCAUGAUGGUUUUCGGUAGGGAACGUCCCACCUUUGGGGACGAAACGAUAUCCAUUGCCUCUUAUUGCUUUCAAAUUUUUUUCUCGUGUCAACAUAGAACAACAGGAGUGUUGUGUGAUUUUUUGUGAUUUUUCGGGGUUCGUUUGGACAUUUUUGUGCAUUAACUGAGUUUUCAAUGCAUUUUAUGUGCAUAAUUCAAAUUUGAACUACAUGCACAUGCUCCAGUGCAUAUAAAUUGGUUGAAAAAUCAAAUAUGUGUCCUUGGGUGCAUUCUUAGGUCCCAUGCAAGAAAUGGGAAUGAAUUUCAACCACCGGGGCACCGUUGAUUGCCGACAAAACAUUGAGAUUCCUGGUUUUUAAAUUCUAGUAAAUCCAAAACUCGUCUGAAAUUCAUGAAACUUGGCAUGCUAUCAUGGAGCGGCAUCAACAUGCCGUGGUACAAAUUUUGUCCCAUUCGGGGCAGGUUUGGGUAUAUGCUUCUCACAAACCGGAGCUUCUCACAACAAGCAUGAUGGUUUUCGGUAGGGAACGUCCCACCUUUGUGGACGAAACGAUAUCCAUUGUCUCUUAUUGCUUUCAAUUUUUUUUUCUCGUUUCAACAUAGAACAACGGGAGUGUUAUGUGAAUUUUUGUGAUUUUUCGGGGUUCGUUUGGACAUUUUAAUGCAUUAACUAAGUUUUCAAUGCAUUUAUGUGCAUAAUUCAAAUUUAAACUACAUGCACAUGAUCCAGUGCAUAUAAAUUGGUUGAAAAAUCAAAUAUGUGUCCUUGGGUGCAUGCUUAGGUCCCAUGCAAGAAAUAGGAAUGAAUUUCAAACACCGGGGCACCGUUGAUUGCCGGCAAAAUAUUGAGAUGCCUGGUUUUUAAAUUCUAGUAAAUCCAAAACUCGUCUGAAAUUCAUGAAACUUGGCAUGCUAUCAUGGAGCGGCAUCAAUAUGCCGUGGUACAAAUUUUGUCCCAUUUGGGGCAGGUUUGGGUAUAUGCUUCUCACAAACCGGAGCUUCUCACAACAAGCAUGAUGGUUUUCGGUAGGGAACGUCCCACCUUUGUGGACGAAACGAUAUCCAUUGCCUCUUAUUGCUUUCAAAAAAAUCUCGUCUCAACAUAGAACAACAGGAGUGUUGUGUCAAUUUUUCUGAUUAUUCGGGGAUCGUUUGGACAUUUUUAUGCAUUAACUGAGUUUUCAAUGCAUUUAUGGCAUAAUUCAAAUUUUAACUACAUGCACAUGCUCUAGUGCAUAUAAAUUGGUUGUAAAAUCAAAUAUGUGUCCUUGGGAGCGUGCUUAGGUCCCAUGCAAGAAAUAGGAAUGAAUUUCAAACACCAGGGCACCGUUGAUUGCCGGCAAAACAUUGAGAUGCCUGGUUUUUAAAUUCUAGUAAAUCCAAAAUUCAGUUAACCAUUCACGUGACGCCACGUGUCUUGGUUUUAAUGGCUGUAGGAGGUGUCGUGUGGGAAGCUGCUUGACCUUGACUGAACGGGAGGCGUGCGACCGCCGUCCGAUGCGCAGGCUGACCAGGAGGCGUGCAAGCUGUCCUUGAGUGCGCAGGCUCACCGGGAAGUGUGCGAGUUGUACGCUGUGCAGGCUCACUGGGAAGCGAGCCCUUUGACUUCCAUGGCCGCCCGCCUUGUUCGCAUCCUCUCCAUUAAUGGCACCCAAGCCGCAGUUUAAUUCGCUUUUUAAUAUUAAACACUCAUCACAAAUAUUUUAGUUAGAACACCCGUAUGCAAACCAACAGCUUCCCCAGGAAGCGAAGAGAAAAUGUGCCGAGCAGGAUUUCUGCAGCUCUUGAUCACAAACGUUUUAGAUAGAACACCCAUAUGCAAAGUGAGAGCAGCGCGGGAUUUGUGCAUCCCUUCAACGCAAACGGUUGUUUUGGAUGACCCGUGUGGAACCACGUACAAACAAUUUGGUAAGAUUUGUCAAUCCUUGUAACACUGCGAUUUGUCAAAAUAUGAAGCUAAAAAUCACUAGCAGUAUCUAAUUUUUGCAACUAAAAUUCAGUAAUGAAGCAUAGGUUUCAUUCAUAGAUUAAGCAGUCGUUCUUAAUUUAUACAAACAGUUCAACUCGACAGCUGAACCGACCAAACUUUUCCCCAAUUGUUGCCAACCACGUACUGAAAUAGCUAGUUCAACUAUAUAUACUAGCUAAUUUUAAGUACAUUGUACAGCUCCACCACAUCUAUAGUCAGAUGAAUUGAACAAAAUAGCCCCUAAAUAAUACUACUACUGUGGAGGGGCUUUGUACUACUUCCGGCUGCCUCUCCUCUGCCGAGCGCGCUCAGUAAGAGGCGGAGGAGGAGGAGCCUACCGACGAGCUGGGCAACCGCAAUGCGGUGCCUGCCGCUAAUGCAGCUUCAGCGACGCUCGCCUCGAACGCCCUCUGCCGCUCCAGAUGACCCCUCUCGAAGUGGUGGUUCUCCUCGUAGAUCUCCUGAUUUCUUGCCUCUGAGGCGGCGUGUGCUGCUGCCACUGCGGCGGUAAGGCUCUUUGCGUGCUCGACGAGGCGCUCCUCCUCCUCCCGCAGGAACUCGGUGUAGAGCGCAAGGUCGCUAUCACACGUGCGGGAAUCCACCUCCGCCUCCCGCCUUCGGGCGCUGGUGGCGGAGUGGGUGAUGACCCCGGUGGUCAACGGUGGGCUGGCGGCCACGGCGGCCGACGACGGGGUAGCGGCCACGACCACCACCUCCCGCCUUCGGGCCGCGGUGGCGGAGCGGGUGAUGUCCACAGUGGCCGGCAGUGGGGUGGCGGCCACGACGGCCAUCUCCCGCCUUCGGGCCGUGGCGGCAGAGCGGGCGAUGGCCCUGGCUUUCGACGGUGGUGUGGCGGCAACAGUGGCCGGCAACAGCUGCCGACGGGCACCGGCGGCGGAGCUUGUGGUGGGUGUUCCGCGCACACCUAACAGGGACGCCACGCGCACUUCACUACGCCGGGGACUGCGCCGCCGCCGCGCUGUAGCCUCCCAGCUGGAACUGUCCUCUGGUGACGGCGGAGUGGCUGAGCGACGAUGACGGACCGGUGCCAUUGGCAAAUGUGGGAGAAGAAGACGUGAUAAGCUACAGGGAUGGAGGGGAAAAUGCAACGCAGGACUCGCCGGUCGUGAGGGUUUUUAUAGUAGGCCGGUAAGCAUUGGGAUUUGGGGGGAUUUCACCGAGUCAGGCGGGAAGCUUGCGCGGGAACUUGCGAGGUUGCACGGGAACGGGCUCACCGACGAUUCAUUGGCGCCACCGUUUGGCAAAAAGAACGCCCCCGCGCGCUGCACAAGCUUGCGCUGUAAGGCGUCUGCGGCAGCAGGGUGACAAGACGUGCGAGAGGAGGACGAAAGUCCACGUACACAUACGGUUAAUAAAAAAAUGUUUGCAAUUUAAUUACCUACUAUACCACCGUCCUGGUUUAUAAGUAUGAUUUAACAAAUAAAAUACGAAUGCAUGUCGCCAAAGAUUAUAUAGUUGGAUUUGUAUUUGAACAUAGUUUCCAAUUAUAUAAUUUUUAAAACAUGCAUUAACAUUUUGUUGGUUAAAUUUGAGGGCAAAGUAUGGCACGAAAUAUAAAGGAGACUAUAGACUAGACAGAGGUGGUACCACACGGCCGCUAUCUACGCAGUGACGCAACUAUCGGCCAUCUUGUAGGCGACCAUUUGCUGCGUGUUCAACUGCUCCAUGCGUGUGGUUGCUUGCGGUUCAGGCGGCCGCGGCGCACUCUGCUAACGUCCCACCACGCGCGCUCUGCUCUUGCGUCCCUCCGGGUGCUCUGCCCUCGUCCCUCCACGUGCGCUCCCAGUGUUUUGGGCCGGCGCACGAUCACGCACGUUCGUGUGCAAGCGGUUGCGCCGGGCGCGACGCGACGAUGCAGUUACUGGCUGCAAAAACUGCCAUGCAGACGCGCUGAGAAUCCACGCUGCCCGGCCCCCUUUUAUUCAUGCGGCCAUUUACCUUCAUCUCUCGUCUCACAUGACACAUUAAGCACACCCACGAGGACACAUAUAGAGAGGACAUCCAGUGGUUCCAAUGGCGCUCCCAGUGGCUCCAAUGGCGCUCCCCGUGGCUCCAAUGGCGCUGCCAACGGCCGAUGACGACAACGGCGGGCAGUUCACCACGCAUCACGUAGUGGACACCAACCUGAGGGGGAAGGCCCUCUCGAUGGUGUACACAAACGAUCCGGCCUCGGUGGAGAGCUCCAUCCAAACUAUGGAGCAGUUCCUUGCCGAGGACAAGUACCGAGUGGUCGGCUUCGACCUCGAGUACACCAUCGGUCGUGUCGGGCACGAUCAGAAGGUUGCCGUCGCCCAAUUGUGCGUGCGACAUUACAUCCUCGUCCACCACUUCCACCUUGCCACAAGGCCUUGCGAGCAUUUCUCCAGGUUUAUCAAGAGCUCCGACUACAGUUUCGCUACGGUGGACACCACCAACGAUCUAAAAGGGCUCAAGGUUUCAGACUUGAAAUGCCCGAAUCUUGUCAACAUCCAGCACCACUACAAGGUCUAGGGCACCAACAAAAGCAAACUGAACUCCCUGGUUGACCUCGCCUCAGCCAUCAUCGACUCCUACUACGCGAAGAUGAAGCAAGAGAGCAAGAAGGACAAGAACGCCUGCCACAGUGUGUGGCAUAAGAGACUGGAUGAACAACAUGUCAAGUACGCGGCCAUGGACGCGUACACAAGCUACGAGAUGUACAGGUGGAUCGUUGACAUGAGGAACUGUCUUCUUCCUGACCCAGACGAGGGAUCGAGCCACAUAGCAGUGGUGGGAGUGUCACAAGAAGUAGAUGACUAGACGAUUGUUUCUCCUACUUUAGAAUGCAUGCAAUUGUUUAUUGAGGUGUGUGCGAAUGAUCUCCAUAGUCACUUAUGUAAUUAGAUGUUUAUUUCAGUUAUAUAUAUAUAUACAUGCUAUUCUACUGUAGACAGAGCAAUUCACACGGCUUAUUAGCAGCAAUCAUCUGUGUUAUUAUUGGUCUUCGCACACAUUUCAGAUUACGGACCUGUUUGCCGCGUAUCACACACAUCUUGUUCAGUUGAACCGUUUCCAUUGUGUUGCCCAAUCACACACAGUUCAUUCCAGUGAACCGUAUGUUGUACAUCGCACACGCCUUCAUCUGGCUGCCCAUUUCUUUUGUACCUCCUCAUCCCAAACAGUUAAUUGAGCUAAACAGUAUGCCCUGCAUCGCACACGCAACUAAAUUCUGAACCGUGUUUGAUGCAUCUGUCAUCGCAAACGUUUUGCACCUUUUUUGACGACUUUUUACACCACCGUUUGCGAUUAUGGCAUCGCACACAAUUUCGUCGAAGGGUCUCUAAUCGUAGUGUCGCGUUUGGACCAUCCUGCAGUAGUGCACUACAGUCCGGCCCACGACAGCUCCCAGCGAUCCUCAUCUUUGGGGGGUUCGCUGGACCCAAAGGCGAUGGACAGCGGGUCAUUGCCAGCGGCCUCCUCUCCCAAGGCCACGGGCGACGUCGAGGUGCUGUCCCGAAGGACCUUCCCUGGCCAGGGAGAAGUACAAGAGGCCGUCAGGGCGGCGCCAGAGGGUAAUACCUCGUCCGCCGGACACAUGGGGGAGCAAAUCCCCAUGGAGACUGGCGAUGGGGGCCAUAUCCAAUUCGGCCCCCAGCCGAAUACAAUUCCGGAGACCUAUAUGGCUCCGGGAUCAGGCCAGCAGCCUCCUUCGAAAGAAGGAGGUGCACCGGUUCCACCGGUGACCUCUGUCCAUCCAGAGGCACCGGAUACUCUACUGGAAUCGCUCCGAAGUGCUUCCGUUGUUGAGGAACACCAUACCCUCAGGGGUACGGUGGUUGAGAGGAUUCAGUCCGCGAAGAGCGGACUGACUGAAGCCUGCACAAGCCUUCUAAUAGGAUUUGAGGUAAGAAACGCAAUUUAUGCAAAAGGAAUGUCCUAGUAUAGACUGUAGCCCCUAAGACACUGUCCGGUGUUCGAAAAGAAAAGCCGGACAGAGGAUCAAAUAAUUUUCGCAGGAGACUAACCAUACGUGUCUAUGUGAAUAAGCAGGCAUCUUUGCUGGUUGCGACCUCUCAUGCUGCUGAGGUCUCUGGACUGAAGCAGAGUCUGGAACGGACCGAGGAAGAGCUCGGCCGUGUGAAAAAGCAGCUGGAGGACCAUCAAGGUAUGCAACGACCUUGUGUAGAUUCACAAAGGAUGAAUGAUUUGUCCUGACCAUAGUGCCAUGAUAUUUUGUAGGAGUGGCGACCGAGGUGGAGACCCUCAAGAAGGCGCUGGCCGAAGCCCAGGAGAGAGCGGCAAAGGAACAAGCCGCUCGCGAGAAUCACGAGGCCAGGGUUGGUGAGGUCCAGCAGGAGCUCCAGGAUGCCGUGAAGAAAUGCGAGUCCUUGGAGCGCAAUAUUGUGGAUCAAGAGUCCGAACUUGCCAAGGCCCGCCAAAGCACACACAAUGCUCGGGUUGAAGCCCAGGGCGCCCUCCAGGAAAUCCAGGAGGCCAGAAAAAUCGCGGCGGGUAAGACCUUUAUUAUGCAUAGCUAGUAUGUGAAGAAAAGAUUCCUCUUACUGACCCGGAUUUGGAGUUCUCCAGGGGCGUUUGUGGAUCUGCCGCGCAGUGUUGCCGACGCUGUGGAAUUCUCCCGAGCCGAAGAGGGGAGCUCAACGGAGAAGCUGUUCUGGUCGCAAUACCUUGCGCUAGAGCAUCCGGUGCCCUUUAGCGAUCAGCUGAAACAGCUGACAGAACUGCAUAGGGUGGCCGAACUGGCCAUGAAGGAUUUGAUAAUCCGUCUAUGGCCUACCGAAGCCAUACCCAGCAACUACUUCGGGCUCGUGAAGCGGCUGGUCAAUGCCUGGCCUCGGCUUGAUGCCAUCAAGCGGUCGGUCUGCAUUGAAGGUGCGCGGAUGGCCUUCGCCCGUGUCAAGAUGUAGUGGGCGAAGAUGGACGCUGUCAAGCUCGCGACCGAGGGACCGCCCGCGGGCAAGGAGCACCGCACGCCCGAGCGGUAUUUUGAUGAUGUCCUCAAGGGAUCCCGCAUUGUAGAGGGCCAGUGUUCAAAAGACAUUAUCUUCGAAUGAAUACAUUCAUGUUAUCUUGUCUUGUAUUAUGAAACAAAGCUGUUUAUGUAAUAUAAUGUUUGUUGUUUCUGUUGGGGAACGUAGUAAUUUCAAAAAAAAUCCUACGCACACACAAGAUCAUGGUGAUGCAUAGCAACGAGAGGGGAGAGUGUUGUCUACAUACCCUCGUAGACCGAAAGCGGAAGCGUUAGCACAACGCGGUUGAUGUAGUCGUACGUCUUCACGAUCCGACCGAUCAAGUACCGAACACACGGCACCUCCGAGUUCAGCACAUGUCCAGCCCGAUGAUGUCCCUCGAACUUCGAUCCAGCCGAGUGUUGAGGGAGAGUUUCGUCAGCACGAUGGCGUGGUGACGAUGAUGAUGUUCUACCGACGCAGGGCUUCGCCUAAACACCGCUACAGUAUUAUCGAGGUGGACUAUGGUGGAGGGGGGCACCGCACACGGCUAAAAGAUCAAACGAUCAAUUGUUGUGUCUUUGGGGUGCCCCCCUGCCCCCGUAUAUAAAGGAGCAAAGGGGGGAGGUGCGGCCGGCCAGGGAGGAGGCGCGCCAGGAGGAGUCCUACUCCCACCGGGAGUAGAACUCCCUCCCUUCCUUGUUGGAAUAGGAGAAGGGGGAAAGAGGUGGAGGAGAGGAAGGAAAGGGGGGGCGCCGCCCCCCUCUCCUUGUCCUAUUCGGACUAGGGGGGAGGGGCGCACGGCCCUUGCCCUGGCCACCUCUCCUCAUCUCCACUAAGGCCCACUAUGGCCCAUUAACCCCCGGGGGGUUCCGGUAACCCCUCCGGUACUUCGGUAAAAUCCCGAUUUCACCCGGAACACUUCCGAUAUCCAAAUAUAGGCUUCCAAUAUAUCAAUCUUCAUGUCUCAACCAUUUUGAGACUCCUCGUCAUGUCUGUGAUCACAUCCGGGACUCGGAACAACCUUCGGUACAUCAAAACAUAUAAACUCAUAAUAUAACUGUCAUCAAAACGUUAAGCGUGCGGACCCUACGGGUUCGAGAACUAUGUAGACAUGACCGAGACACGUCUCCGGUCAAUAACCAAUAGCGGAACCUGGAUGCUCAUAUUGGCUCCCACAUAUUCUAUGAAGAUCUUUAUCGGUCAGACCGCAUAACAACAUACGUUGUUCCCUUUGUCAUCGGUAUGUUACUUGCCCGAGAUUCGAUCGUCGGUAUCUCAAUACCUAGUUCAAUCUCGUUACCGGCAAGUCUCUUUACUCGUUCCGUAAUACAUCAUCCCGCAACUAACUCAUUAGUUGCAAUGCUUGCAAGGCUUAAGUGAUGUGCAUUACCGAGUGGGCCCAGAGAUACCUCUCCGACAAUCGGAGUGACAAAUCCUAAUCUCGAAAUACGCCAACCCAACAAGUACCUUCGGAGACACCUGUAGAGCACCUUUAUAAUCACCCAGUUACGUUGUGACGUUUGGUAGCACACAAAGUGUUCCUCCGGUAAACGGGAGUUGCAUAAUCUCAUAGUCAUAGGAACAUGUAUAAGUCAUGAAGAAAGCAAUAGCAACAUACUAAACGAUCGAGUGCUAAGCUAACGGAAUGGGUCAAGUCAAUCACAUCAUUCUCCUAAUGAUGUGACCCCAUUAAUCAAAUGACAACCCAUGUCAAUGGCUAGGAAACAUAACCAUCUUUGAUUAACGAGCUAGUCAAGUAGAGGCAUACUAGUGACACUCUGUUUGUCUAUGUAUUCACACAAGUAUUACAUUUCCGGUUAAUACAAUUCAUGCAUGAAUAAUAAACAUUUAUCAUGAUAUAAGGAAAUAAAUAAUAACUUUAUUAUUGCCUCUAGGGCAUAUUUCCUUCAGUCUCCCACUUGCACUAGAGUCAACAAUCUAGAUUACACAGUAAUGAUUCUAACACCCAUGGAGCCUUGGUGCUGAUCAUGUUUUGCUCGUGGAAGAGGCUUAGUCAACGGGUCUGCAACAUUCAGAUCCAUAUGUAUCUUGCAAAUUUCUAUGUCUCCCACCUGGACUAAAUCUUGGAUGGAAUUGAAGCGUCUCUUGAUGUGCUUGGUUCUCUUGUGAAAUCUGGAUUCCUUCGCCAAGGCAAUUGCACCAGUAUUGUCACAAAAGAUUUUCAUUGGACCCGAUGCACUAGGUAUGACACCUAGAUCGGAUAUGAACUCCUUCAUGCAAACUCCUUCAUUUGCUGCUUCUGAAGCAGCUAUGUACUCCGCUUCACAUGUAGAUCCCGCCACGACGCUUUAUUUAGAACUGCACCAACUGACAGCUCCAAAGUUCAAUGUAAACACGUAUCUGGUUUGCGAUUUAGAAUCGUCCGGAUCAGUGUCAAAGCUUGCAUCAACGUAACCAUUUACGAUGAGAUCUUUGUCACCUCCAUAAACGAGAAACAUAUCCUUAGUCCUUUUCAGGUAUUUCAGGAUGUUCUUGACCGCUGUCCAGUGAUCCACUCCUGGAUUACUUUGGUACCUCCCUGCUAAACUUAUAGCAAGGCACACAUCAGAUCUGGUACACAGCAUUGCAUACAUGAUAGAGCCUAUGGCUGAAGCAUAGGAACAUCUUUCAUCUUCUCUCUAUCUUCUGCAGUGGUCGGGCAUUGAGUCUUACUCAACUUCACACCUUGUAACACAGGCUAGAACCCUUUCUUUGCUUGAUCCAUUUUGAACUUCUUCAAAACUUUGUCAAGGUAUGUGCUUUGUGAAAGUCCAAUUAAGCGUCUUGAUCUAUCUCUAUAGAUCUUGAUGCCCAAUAUAUACGCAGCUUCACCGAGGUCUUUCAUUGAAAAACUCUUAUUCAAGUAUCCCUUUAUGCUAUUCAGAAAUUCUAUAUCAUUUCCAAUCAGCAAUAUGUCAUCCACAUAUAAUAUUAGAAAUGCUACAGAGCUCCCACUCACUUUCUUGUAAAUACAGGCGUCUCCAAAAGUCUGUACAAAACCAAAUGCUUUGAUCACACUAUCAAAGCGUUUAUUCCAACUCCGGGAGGCUUGCACCAGUCCAUAAAUAGAUCGCUGGAGCUUGCACACGUUGUUAGCUCCCUUUGGAUCGACAAAACCUUCCGGUUGCAUCAUAUACAACUCUUCUUCCAGAAAUCCAUUCAGGAAUGCAGUUUUGACAUCCAUUUGCCAAAUUUCAUAAUCAUAAAAUGCGGCAAUUGCUAACAUGAUUCGGACGGACUUAAGCAUCGCUACGGGUGAGAAGGUCUCAUCGUAGUCAAUCCCUUGAACUUGUCGAAAACCUUUUGCAACAAGUCGAGCUUUAUAUACAGUAACAUUACCGUCAGCGUCAGUCUUCUUCUUGAAGAUCCAUUUAUUCUCAAUUGCUUGCCGAUCAUCGGGCAAGUCAACCAAAGUCCACACUUUGUUCUCAUACAUGGAUCCCAUCUCAGAUUUCAUGGCCUCAAGCCAUUUUGCAGAAUCUGGGCUCACCAUCGCUUCUUCAUAGGUUCGUCAUGGUCUAGUAGCAUAACCUCCAGAACAGGAUUACAGUACCACUCUGGUGCGGAUCUUACUCUGGUUGGCCUACGAGGUUCAGUAACAACUUGAUCUGAAGUUCCAUGAUCAUCAUCAUUAACUUCCUCACUAAUUGGUGUAGGCGUCGCGGAAACCGGUUUCUGUGAUGAACUACUUUCCAAUAAGGGAGCAGGUACAAUUACCGCAUCAAGUUCUACUUUCCUCCCACUCACUUCUUUCGAGAGAAACUCCUUCUCCAGAAAGAUUCCAAAUUUAGCAACAAAAGUCUUGCCUUCGGAUCUGUGAUAGAAGGUGUACCCAACAGUCUCCUUUGGGUAUCCUAUGAAGACACAUUUCUCCGAUUUGGGUUCGAGCUUAUCAGGUUGAAGCUUUUUCACAUAAGCAUCGCAGCCUCAAACUUUAAGAAACGACAACUUUGGUUUCUUGCCAAACCACAGUUCAUAAGGCGUCGUCUCAACGGAUUUUGAUGGUGCCCUAUUUAACAUGAAUGCGGCCGUCUCUAAAGCAUAACCCCAAAACGAUAGCGGUAAAUCAGUAAGAGGCAUCAUAGAUCGCACCAUAUCUAGUAGAGUACGAUUACGACGUUCGGGCACACCAUUAUGCUAUGGUGUUCCGGGUGGCGUGAGUUGCAAAACUAUUCCGCAUUGUUUCAAAUGAAGACCAAACUCAUAACUCAAAUAUUCUCCUCCAUGAUCAGAUCGUAGAAACUUUAUUUUCUUGUUACGAUGAUUUUCAACUUCACUCUGAAAUUCUUUGAACUUUUCAAAUGUUUCAGACUUAUGUUUCAUUAAGUAGAUAUACCCAUAUCUGCUCAAAUCAUCUGUGAAGGUGAGAAAAUAACGAUAUCCACCACGAGCCUCAAUAUUCAUCGGACCACAUACAUCUGUAUGUAUGAUUUCCAACAAAUCUGUUGCUCUCUCCAUAGUUUCGGAGAAUGGCGUUUUAGUCAUCUUGCCCAUGAGGCACGGUUCGCAAGUACCAAGUGAUUCAUAAUCAAGUGGUUCCAAAAGUCCAUCAUUAUGGAGUUUAUUCAUGCUCUUUACACCGAUAUGACCUAAACGGCAGUGCCAUAAAUAAGUUGCACUAUCAUUAUCAACUCUGCAUCUUUUGGCUUCAAUAUUAUGAAUAUGUGUAUCACUACUAUCGAGAUUCAACAAAAAUAGACCACCCUUCAAGGGUGCAUGGCCAUAAAAGAGAUUACUCAUAUAAAUAGAACAACCAUUAUUCUCUGAUUUAAAUGAAUAACCGUCUCGCAUCAAACAAGAUCCAGAUAUAAUGUUCAUGCUUAACACUGGCACCAAAUAACAAUUAUUUAGGUCUAAAACUAAUCCCGAAGGUAGAUGUAGAGGUAGCGUGCCGACCGCGAUCACAUCGACUUUGGAACCAUUUCCCACGCGCAUCGUCACCUCGUCCUUAGCCAAUCUUCGCUUAAUCCGUAGCCCCUGCUUCGAGUUGCAAAUAUUAGCAAUAGAACCAGUAUCAAAUACCCAAUUGCUACUGCGAGCAUUAGUAAGGUACACAUCAAUAACAUGUAUAUCACAUAUACCUUUGUUCACCUUGCCAUCCUUCUUAUCCGCCAAAUACUUGGGGCAGUUCUGCUUCCAGUGACCAGUCUGCUUGUAGUAGAAGCACUCAGUCUCAGGCUUAGCUCCAAACUUGGGUUUCUUCUCCUGAACAGCAACUUGCUUGUUGUUCUUCUUGAAGUUCCCAUUCUUCUUCCCUUUGCCCUUUUUCUUGAAACUGGUGGUCUUAUUGACCAUCAACACUUGAUGCUCCUUUUUGAUUUCUACCUCCGCAGCCUUUAGCAUUGCGAAGAGCUCAGGAAUCGUCUUAUCCAUCCCUUGCAUGUUAUAGUUCAUCACGAAGCUCUUGUAGCUUGGUGGCAGUGAUUGGAGAAUUCUGUCAAUGACGCUAUCAUCCGGAAGAUUAACUCCGAGUUGAAUCAAGUGAUUAUUAUACCCAGACAUUUUGAGUAUAUGCUCACUGACAGAACUAUUCUCCUCCAUCUUGCAGCUGUAGAACUUAUUGGAGACUUCAUAUCUCUCAAUCCGGGCAUUUGCUUGAAAUAUUAACUUCAACUCCUGGAACAUCUCAUAUGCUCCAUGACGUUCAAAACGCCGUUGAAGUCCCGGUUCUAAGCCGUAAAGCAUGGCACAUUGAACUAUCGAGUAGUCAUCAGCUUUGCUCUGCCAGACGUUCUUAACGUCGUCAGUUGCAUCAGCAGCAGGCCUGGCACCCAGCGGUGCUUCCAGGAAAUAAUUCUUCUAUGCAGCAAUGAGGAUAAUACACAAGUUACGGACCCAGUCCGUGUAAUUGCUACCAUCAUCUUUCAACUUUGCUUUCUCAAGGAACGCAUUAAAAUUCAACGGAACAACAGCACGGGCCAUCUAUCUACAAUCAACAUAGACAAGCAAGAUACUAUCAGGUACUAAGUUCAUGAUAAAUUUAAGUUCAAUUAAUCAUAUUACUUAAGAACUCCCACUUAGAUAAACAUCCCUCUAAUCCUCUAAGUGAUCACGUGAUCCAUAUCAACUAAACCAUGUCCGAUCAUCACGUGAGAUGGAGUAGUUUCAACGAUGAACAUCACUAUGUUGACCAUAUCUACUAUAUGAUUCACGCUCGACCUUCCGGUCUCCGUGUUCCGAGGCCAUACUGUUAUAUGCUAGGCUCGUCAAGCUUAACCUGAGUAUUCCGCGUGUGCAACUGUUUUGCACCCGUUGUAUUUGAACGUAGAGCCUAUCACACCCGAUCAUCACGUGGUGUCUCAGUAAGAAGAACUUUCGCAACGGUGCAUACUCAGAGAACACUUAUACUUUGAUAAUUUAGUGAGGUAUCAUCUUAUAAUGCUACCGUCAAUCAAAGCAAGAUAAGAUGCAUAAAAGAUAAACAUCACAUGCAAUCAAUAUAAGUGAUAUGAUAUGGCCAUCAUCAUCUUGUGCUUGUGAUCUCCAUCUCCGAAGCACCGUCAUGAUCACCAUCGUCACCGGCGCGACACCUUGAUCUUCAUCGUAGCAUCGUUGUCGUCUCGCCAAUCUUAUGCUUCUACGACUAUCGCUACCGCUUAGUGAUAAAGUAAAGCAUUACAGGGCGAUUUGCAUUGCAUACAGUAAAGCGACAACCAUAUUGCUCCUGCCAGUUGCCGAUAACUCGGUUACCAAACAUGCUCAUCUCAUACAAUAAAAUUUAGCAUCAUGUCUUGACCAUAUCACAUCACAACAUGCCCUGCAAAAACAAGUUCGACGUCCUCUACUUUGUUGUUGCAAAUUUUACGUGGCUGCUACGGGCUUAGCAAGAACCGUUCUUACCUACGCAUCAAAACCACAACGAUAGUUUUUCAAGUUGGUGUUGUUUUAACCUUCGCAAGGACCGGGCGUAGCCACACUCGGUUCAACUAAAGUUGGAGAAACUGACACCCGCCAGCUACCUGUGUGCAAAGCACGUCAGUAGAACCAGUCUCGCGUAAGCGUACGCGUAAUGUUGGUCCGGGCCGCUUCAUCCAACAAUACCGCCGAACCAAAGUAUGACAUGCUGGUAAGCAGUAUGACUUAUAUCUCCCACAACUCACUUGUGUUCUACUCGUGCAUAUAACAUCAACGCAUAAAACCUGGCUCGGAUGCCACUGUUGGGGAACGUAGUAAUUUCAAAAAAAUUCCUACGCACACGCAAGAUCAUGGUGAUGCAUAGCAACGAGAGGGGAGAGUGUUGUCUACGUACCCUCGUAGACAGAAAGCGGAAGCGUUAGCACAACGCGGUUGAUGUAGUCAUACGUCUUCACGAUCCGACCGAUCAAGUACCGAACGCACGGCACCUCCGAGUUCAGCACACGCAGCCCGAUGACGUCCCUCGAACUCUGAUCCAGCCGAGUGUUGAGGGAGAGUUUCGUCAGCACGACGGCGUGGUGACGAUGAUGAUGUUCUACCGACGUAGGGCUUCGCCUAAGCACCGCUACAGUAUUAUCGAGGUGGACUAUGGUGGAGGGGGGCACCGCACACGGCUAAAAGAUCAAACGAUCAAUUGUUGUGUCUUUGGGGUGCCCCCCUGCCCCCGUAUAUAAAGGAGCAAAGGGGGGAGGUGCGGCCGGCCAGGGAGGAGGCGCGCCAGGAGGAGUCCUACUCCCACCGGGAGUAGGACUACCUCCCUUCCUUCUUGGAAUAGGAGAAGGGGGAAAGAGGUGGAGGAGAGGAAGGAAAGGGGGGCGCCGCCCCCCUCUCCUUGUCCUAUUCGGACUAGGGGGGAGGGGCGCGCGGCCCUUGCCCUGGCCGCCUCUCCUCAUCUCCACUCAGGCCCACUAUGGCCCAUUAACCCCUGGGGGGUUCCGGUAACCCCUCCGGUACUCCGGUAAAAUCCCGAUUUCACCGGGAACACUUCCGAUAUCCAAAUAUAGGCUUCCAAUACAUAAAUCUUCAUGUCUCGACCAUUUCGAGACUCCUCGUCUUGUCCGUGAUCACAUCCGGGACUCCGAACAACCUUCGGUACAUCAAAACAUAUAAACUCAUAAUAUAACUGUCAUCGAAACGUUAAGCGUGCGGACCCUACGGGUUCGAGAACUAUGUAGACAUGACCGAGACAAGUCUCCGGUCAAUAACCAAUAGCGGAACCUGGAUGCUCAUAUUGGCUCCCACAUAUUCUGCGAAGAUCUUUAUCGGUCAGACCGCAUAACAACAUACGUUGUUCACUUUGUCAUCGGUAUGUUACUUGCCCGAGAUUCGAUCGUCGGUAUCUCAAUACCUAGUUCAAUCUCGUUACCGGCAAGUCUCUUUACUCGUUCCGUAAUACAUCACCCCGCAACUAACUCAUUAGUUGCAAUGCUUGCAAGGCUUAAGUGAUGUGCAUUACCGAGUGGGCCCGGAGAUACCUCUCCUACAAUCGGAGUGACAAAUCCUAAUCUCGAAAUACGCCAACCCAACAAGUACCUUCGGAGACACCUGUAGAGCACCUUUAUAAUCACCCAGUUAUGUUGUGACGUUUGGUAGCACACAAAGUGUUCCUCCGGUAAACGGGAGUUGCAUAAUCUCAUAGUCAUAGGAACAUGUAUAAGUCAUGAAGAAAGCAAUAGCAACAUACUAAACGAUCGAGUGCUAAGCUAACGGAAUGGGUCAAGUCAAUCACAUCGUUCUCCUAAUGAUGUGACCCCGUUAAUCAAAUGAUAACCCAUGUCAAUGGCUAGGAAACAUAACCAUCUUUGAUUAACGAGCUAGUCAAGUAGAGGCAUACUAGUGACACUCCGUUUGUCUAUGUAUUCACACAAGUAUUACGUUUCCGGUUAAUACAAUUCUAGCAUGAAUAAUAAAUAUUUAUCAUGAUAUAAGGAAAUAAAUAAUAACUUUAUUAUUGCCUCUAGGGCAUAUUUCCUUCAGUUUCAAAAUUUUACCUCUUGUGCGGCCGUUUUAUUAAAUCUGAGGGUUGGCCAGUUGUUGGCUUCAGACCCCAGAUAGGUAGUACGGGGGUGUUCGGGGUGGAAUCUAAACACUCUUGAUCCAAUAGUUUGGUCCUUGAAGGAGGUGUUUAGAGCAACGAACCAGGCAAUCGGACUAUGUGGCUUUAUCACCCUCACUUAGCCAUAGGAGUUUGACAAUAAAAAUGUAGGCGCAGCCCCUAGUUAGUAUUUAAUCCGGACUAGGGUGCUGUAAACACCUGAUCGGAUGGAGGACGAUUCAUCGCAUAAUGCGGAAACAAUCGCAAAAGAUUUUGAACCUUCAAAUAGCUGACCAGCUCUCGCCGCAUCAUGACAGUCAGUUUUCGGCUUUCUCUACUGAGGUGUUUGCUCGGAUAAACCAGAAACACAAUCGCAGUAGUUCUCCCUUUACUACCCUAGCCGAUAGGACGGAACGUAAGGUAGCAAGCACAGGAGCCGGGCAACCCAACUAUUGACCAAAGACAUGAUUCGGAGCCGAUGCAUAUAAUGCUAAAAUUCGGGGUGCCGAACUAUAUUGUAAAAAGUGUUUGGACUUUAUUGCCGUAGUAUGGAGCAUAAUGAAGCCCCUGGCGAAUUAAAGCAUACCAGAGUGUACAGGUGCAAUCGAUAAGAAUAGCGAAAUGAAAUGAAGUGGUAAGCCAGUGCCACGUAAGUUGGGCCGCAAACUGUUUCCAUUAUAGUUUGAUUAAUACGUCAAAGCGUAUUUGUACAAAUAGUGCGAUAAGCGACCUGGCUAUUUAACAUGCCAAGACCAAAGGGGAGCUGCGUGCGGGUCCCGAAAAUAGGUAGAAUGAUCGUCAAGAAGAACAUCUAGAGAUUCCCCCACACGUAUGUACUGCUUGCCGCCUUGGUAUAUCUAUCCUUCGAAAGGGCCGAUGAUCAGGCCGUCGGGAGGGGCCUGUGAAAGAAAAGACUAAAAAAUGGUAAAAACGAAAAGGAAAAGUAUGUGUGGGAGCCGUAUGAUGGACCACAAUCAAGUUACGCCUCCGUCUGUGCCCAUGGUAUUUUGAGUGCGUAGUUAUGUACACGCGGUACGUACGCCGCCAUUUGGUCGGGACUGAGACGGAGGCAGAAUUGCAAGUCGAGCUCCUGACGAGCUGGACUGUCCUGCUGCAGAGUAGUUCGGACUUGUUUGACAGUGUCCGGGAGCUUGGCCGCCGAAUUAAGGUUCUUCUUGAUAAGGCCGCUCUGUACUUCUGCUGCCAGGGCCGCGGUGUGCUCCUCAGUGCGGAGGAAGCGCUCCGUGUUUCCAUUAACUGUUAUGACACCGCGUGGUCCGAGCAUCUUGAGUUUGAGAUAAGCAUAGUGUGGCACCGCAUUGAAUCGAGCAAAUGCAGUUCAUCCGAGCAGUGCAUAAUAGCCACUGCGGAAGGGGACGAUGUCAAAGAUCAAGUUUUCGCUUUGGAAGUUGUCCGGGGAUCCGAAGACGACUUCCAAUGUGAUUGAACCCGUGCAGCGGGCCUCUACACCUGGUAUUACUCCUUUAAAGGUUGUUUUUGUGGGCUUGAUCCUUGAUGGAUCGAUGCCCAUUUUGCGGACUAUAUCCUGAUAGAGCAGGUUGAGGCUGCUGCCACCGUCCAUGAGGACUCGCGUGAGGGGGAAUCCAUCAAUGAUUGGGUCAAGGACCAGUGCGGCCGAACCGCCAUGAUGGAUACUGGUCGGAUGGUCCCUGUGAUCAAAAGUGAUCGGGUAGGACGGCCAUGGGUUGAAUUUUGGGGCGACUAGCUCUAUCGCAUAGACGUCCCUGAGCGCACAUUUGCGUUCCCUCUUGGGGAUAUGGGUAACGUAUAUCAUGUUCACCGUUUUAACCUAGGGGGAAACUUCUUCUGUCCCCCUGUGUUCGGCGGACGGGGCUCCUCGUCGUCGUUCUCACUUUGCGACCCCUUCUCCUUAUCCUCGGCAUUUAACUUGCCGGCUUGUUUAAAGACCCAACAACUCUGGUGGGUAUGAUUGGCUGGUUCAUCAGGGGUGUCAUGGAUCUGACAUGGACGAACGAGUAUGCGGUCCAAGCUGGAAGAGCCCGGAUUGUUCCUUUUGUAUGGCUUCUUCCGCUGACCGGACUUGGAGCCACUGAAUCCGGCAUUGACCACCGUGUCAUCCGUAUUGUCGCCAUUGUUUCGACGCUUAUGCCUGUUGCGUCAGGGCUUGUCGUUGCUAUUCUUGGCUUCAGAGGUGCCAGGUUCACUUGCAUUAUUAUUGCUACGGGCUAGCCAACUAUCUUCGCCCGCGCAAAAGCGGGUCAUGAGUGCAGUGAGGGCUGCCAUGGACUUCGGCUUUUGCUGGCCGAGGUGUUGGGCGAGCCAUUCGUCGCGGAUGCUGUGCUAAAAGGGCCGCUAGGGCUUCGGCAUCCGGACAGUCGACGAUCUGAUUCUUUUUAGUUAAGAACCUAGUCCAGAAUUUCCUAGCUGACUCUCCGGGCUGUUGAACUAUGUGACUUAAGUCAUCGGCAUCCGGAGGUCGGACGUAUGUACCAUGGAAGUUGUCGCGGAAGGCGUCUUCCAAGUCCUCCCAGCUGCCAAUUGAGUUUUCGGGCAAGCUGUUCAACCAGUGCCGAGCUGGUCCCUUGAGUUUGAGUGGGAGGUAUUUGAUGGCAUGAAGAUCCUCACCGCGGGCCAUGUGAAUAUGAAGAAAGUCCUCGAUCCAUACCGCGGGAUCUGUUGUUCCAUCAUACGAUUCGAUAUUCACGGGUUUAAACCCUUCUGGGAAUUUGUGCUCCAUUACUUCAUCAGUGAAGCAGAGGGGGUGUGCGGCGCCUCUAUAUUGGGCAAGUCGCGAUGUAGCUCGGAUGGAGUCCGUCUGCGGUUUUCGGCUCGGACGUGAUUAUGCUUGUCACAUCUGGCUAGACAGUCGUCGUCGCGCGUCGGAGCACGCCCUCGCGAUCCGUAGAUCGAUCUGGUCUGACCUGCUCUACUGUCCAGGUCCUGAACAAGUCAUAUGUAUAUCCCCGAGCUGUUAUAUCUCUACCCUUACGGCGAGGUGGUAUGUGCUGGCGUUCAUCCUGAAUUGCCAUUUUGUCCCGGCCACAAGGUGGUCGGUCAGCCGCAUUACGUGCUAACGGUACGGGGUCCAGUGCCUCGUCGCCGAAUUGAGGUAGAAGUUUGUGCUCCGGGUAACUCUUGGUUGGGCGCUCUAGGCGGUAUUCCUCGGCUGCCAGGACGUUAGUCCACCUGUCGUUGAGUAAAUCUUGAUCAGCUUGAAGCUGUUGCUGCCUCAUUUUCAGGCUUCUUGCAAUGGCUAUUAGCCGGCGCUUAAAGCGCUCUUGCUCGAGAGGUUCCUCCGGCACGAUAAAGUCUUCGUUGCCGAGGCUCACCUCAUCCUCGGAGAGUGGAAGAUAAUUGUUGUCCUCCGAGUCUUCGUUUAUGGCCUGUUCGUCAGGGCUAACGUGCCCAUCUUCCCGAUCAUCCUGUUCGGAGGUUGGCUCGAUGGGGUCUUCUUUGUCUUCGGCAUCGUCCGGAGUGUUGUUGUCUCUGGUGCCGGUACUGCUGUUUUUUCCACGGCGUGAUUUAGAGCGGUGUCGUUGACGUCGGCGCUUGGGCUGUGUCUCAGGAGGUUUAUCCUCGACUUGAUCUUCUUUAUCAGUAUCGCCGCUACCCUCUUUGGGUGUGUCCACCAUGUACACGUCAUACGAAGAGGUGGCCGUCCAUCGUCCGGUAACGGCGGGUUUUCGGCCUGCUCCUCUCCGGCGUCGUCGUCCAUACCGUCGAUGUCUUCGGAGACGUAGUCGAGCAUGUUAGUUAAGUCCUCGACAGUGGCUAUGAAGUGGGUGGUGGGUGGGACGUAAAAUUCCCCGCUCUCAGCCCCUAGUCCGGGCUGGGCGUAGUUCGGACAUUGCUCCUCUGUAAUGACGAGGGAUCGCAUCAAGUCUAGAGCCUCGCUUAAAGGCAAGGUUUGGCCAGGGAGAAGAAAAUCCGUGGAGUACGGCGGGAAGGAAACUCCUUGGCCGAGCUCACACGAUGCUGACUCUGGGGGUUCGGAGCCAGUGUCCGGAGAAGGGUCCGACUUCAUGAUGGUUGCCACCGACACUACUUCCUCCGGCUCUCCCGCACUGGGCUUAGGGGUCGCAGAGGGUCCGGCGGGCUCAGGAAUCCCGACUUCGGACCUGGCAACGCGCUCCAGAUCUAAAGCCAGAGCAGAGGCUGGAGUCGUGAACCCUUAGAAGAUCAAGUCUCCUCGGGUAUCAGCGACAUAGUCCAGAUUCCCAAAACUAAUCUGGUGACCUGGGGCGUAGCUGUCGAUCUGCUCUAGAUGGCCAAGCGAGUUGGCCCGCAGUGCGAAGCCGCCGAAUACAAAUAUUUGGCCGGGGAGAAAAAUCUCCUCUAGAGCCGCAUUGUUGUAGAUGAUGGAUGGAGCCAUCGAACCUCCUGAUGACUACACGGCGGAACUCUCAAUGAAAGCACCAAUGUCGGUGUGAAAGCCGACGGAUCUCGGGUAGGGGGGUCCCAAACUGUGCAUCUAAGGUCGAUGGUAACAGGAGACGAGGGACACGAUGUUUACCCAGGUUCGGGCCCUCUUGAUGGAGGUAAUACCCUACUUCCUGCUUGAUUGAUCUUGAUGAAUAUGAGGGUUACAAGAGUUGAUCUACCAUGAGAUCGUAAUGGCUAAACCCUAGAAGUCUAGCCUGUAUGAUUAUGAUUGCCUCUACGGACUAAACCCUCCGGUUUAUAUAGACACCGGAAGGGCCUAGGGUUUGUACAGAGUCGGUUUACAAAGUAAGGAAUCUACAUAUCGAACGCCAAGCUUGCCAUCCACGCAAAGGAGAGUCCUAUCCGGACACAGGAGGAAGUCUUCUGUCUUGUAUCUUCAUAGCCCAUUAGUCCGGCCCAUGUUACAUAGUCCGGACGCCCGAGGACCCCUUAAUCCAGGACUCCCUCAAGGGGAAAGACAUGUCAAUAUAUGUUUGACCUUAGCUAGUGCUAACAUUCUUGUUGCUCUAGAGAAAGAGUCCAUAUCUAGGGAAGGAAAUCUUUGAAAUUCAUUGCAUAUAUUUAAAGUCUUUGGGGACAUGUCUAUAUCCAAAUGAAGUACUUGAGUACUCACCCAUUACAUGUCAUCCCAGUCUUGGUACUCUUGUGGUUCCCUGAAAUUGCUUUAAUUAGUGUUCUUGUGUUAUCUAACCUUGUUUUCUCAAGUUCACCUCUUCCAAAGCCAGCUCAAGACCACAAGGUAAGUAUAUGCAUCACACUCAUCUGCAUGAUGAUCUCUUGCUAAUGUACAUAUUGUUUGCAAGAAGGAUUCAUGAACAUAAAGGUACACUUCCUUUUAUCUACAUCAUUUGCUCUGAUGCAUAUAGCCAAGAUACAUGUAACUCAUUGCUUGCUUUGUCAUGCUUACGCAUUCACAUGUUCUUAGAUUCCAUAUUUACAUGGUUGCAUACAUGUAGGGGGAGCCUAUGCAUGUUACAUGUCUUUCCAAAGCUUUACUUGUUACUAUUCAUAUCUUUUAUCUAAAGCUUUGAUGUAUGUUCUCAUCAAUUACCAAAAAGGGGGACAAUUAAAGCACAAGUGCUCCAUGGGUGAUUUUGGUAAUUAAUGUCAACAUAUCUCUUGUUGGACUAAUACUUUUAUCUAGUAUAUUUCAGAUGAGUUCAACAAUGGCAUGGUAAGGACAAGAGGAUGUGGAACCCCUUCAAAAUACUAAGGACAAAGAUUGGCAAAAGCUCAAGACUCUUCAUUUCUAUUUUAGUGAUCCAAGAUCACAUUGAGUCCAUAGGAAAGCCAAUAAUAUUAAAAGGGGAUUAGGUGUUGCUUAAUGGUCUACUUGCUCAAAGUCCUUAGUGAUAUUGCUCCCAAAAAAACAGCCACCUUCUCAUUUCCACAUAUGUCCAAAACUCCAAGUCAAACUCAGCCCCACUGAAAUGACCUAUCCGGCCCCACCGAGUUCAGUUGACAUAGCCACUGCUAGAAAUCCUAGACAAUUCUGUCACACCGAUACGGAUCUCGGUCUCACCGAGAUGGCCCUGCAAACUCUCUGUUGCCUUUUGUAAUUAUUUUGGUCUCACCGAGAUAUGCAAUCGGUCCCACCGAGUUUUCUUGACCAACUCUCUGUUUGCUCUUUGCUGAAAUCGGCCUCGCCGAGUUCAAGCAAUCGGUCUCACCGAGAUGAGGUUUUGCCCUAGCCCUAGCACAUCGGUCCCAUCGAGAUUCCUAACGCUCACAUUUGAACUAAAUCGGUCUCACCGAGUUCUUCUAUUCGGUCUGACCGAGUUGGGUCAAAUGUGCGUAACGGUUGGAUUUUGUGUGGAGGCUAUAUAUCCCUCCACCCCCUUCUCCAUUUGUGAGAGAGCCAUCAGAACAUGCCUACACUUCCACUACUCAUUUUCUGAGAGAGAACCACCUACUCAUGUGUUGAGACCAAGACAUUCCAAUCCAACCACAAGAAUCUUGAUCUCUAACCUUCCCCAAGUUACUUUCCACUCAAAUCAUCUUUCCACCAUAGCCAAAUCUGUGAGAGAGAGUUGAGUGUUGGGGAGACUAUCAUUUGAAGCACAAGAGCAAGGAGUUCAUCAUCAACACACCAUCUAUUACCUUUUGGAGAGUGGUGUCUCCUAGAUUGGUUCGUGUCGCUUGGGAGCCUCCGACAACAUUGUGGAGUUGAACGAAGAAGUUUGUAAGGGCAAGGAGAUCGCCUACUUCGUGAAGAUCUACCCGAGUGAGGCAAGUCAUUUGUGGGUGAUGGCCAUGGUGGGAUAGACAAGGUUGCUUCUUCGUGGACCCUUUGUGGGUGGAGCCCUCCAUGGACUCGCGCAACUGUUACCCUUCGUGGGUUGAAGUCUCCAUCAAUGUGGACAUACGAUAGCACCACCUAUUGGAACCACACCAAAAAUCUCAGUGUCUUCACUGCGUUUGCACAUUCCAAUCUCAUCCCUUUACUUUCUUGCUAUUAGCAUGUUUUACUCUUUCCGCUGCUUAUACUCUUUCCAUGCUUGCUUGAAAUGUAUUGUGAAUGCUUAAACUUGUGCUAAAACUCCACCUCAACUUGAAGAACUUAAAAAUUGCCACUUUUGCUUGUUGAGGGUCUAAUCACCCCCCCCCCCUCUAGACACCUCUUCUCGAUCCUUUCAAUGACCCUUAGCAGUUGAGUUGUCAAUUCAACCACACCUGGGUAAUUAUAUUUCUACAACAAAGUGUUUAGUAGCACAGUAGUUUGAUAGUUUUGAUAGUAGUAAUAACAAUAGCAAUAGUAAAAGGAACAGUAACAAAAAGCAAUUUGUGAUGAUUAUAACAGCAACAACAAUAGUAACCUAGCAAAGAUCAAUAUGAGAAAAGCGUAGGCAUUGGAUCAGCGAUGGAUAUUUGUGUUGGGUUUAUUCAUCAUAUAACAAUCACAACCUAGAGCAAUACACAAUAGCUCCAAUUCGUCAAUUCAAUGUAGGCAUGUAUUCUGGCUAUAGUCAUAUGUGCUUAUAAAAAGAACUUGCAUUUUGGCAUCAUUUAUCCUACCCUCCCGUGGUGGCGGGGUCCAUAAGCAAACUAAGGGAUAUUAAGGACUCAUUUUAAUAGAGAACCGGAACAAAGCAUUAACACAUGGUGAAUACAUGAACUCCUCGAAUUACAGUCAUCCCCGGAGAGUAUUCCAACUAUUGUCACUUUGGGGUCUACGGAUCAGAACAAGAACAAAUGCAUAUAACUAGCACAUAGGAUCAAGAACUCAAAUAUAUUCAUGAAAACAUGAGGGUUCAGAUCUGAAAUCAUGUCACUCAGGCCCUAGUGACAAGCAUUAAGCAUAGUAAAGUCAUAGCAGCAUCAAUCUCGCAACAUAGUGGAUACUAGGGAUCAAGCCUAACAAAUUGACUCGAUUACAUGACAAAUUCCAUCCAACUCCAUCACCAUCUAGCGAGCCUACGAACGAAUUACUCACUCCCGGUGGUGAGCAUCAUGGACUUGUUGCUGGAGAAGGGUGGAUGAUGACGACGGCGACGAAUUCCACCUUCCGGCGCCCGAACGGACUCCAGAUCAGCCCUCCCAGUGAAGAACAGGAGGUGGCGGCGGCUCCGUAUCGUAAAAUGCAAUGGUUCCUUCUCUCCGAUUUUUUCUCGGUACUUAUGGAGUUGGAGUUAGGGUUGCCAGAGGCCUGAGGGGCUCACGAGCUCACAGGGUGCACCCAGGGGGGUGGGCGCGCCCCUGAGCUCGUGGCUCUUGGGUGGCCCCCCUCCAGUAGUUCUUUUCGCCAAUAUUUUUUUAUAUAUUCUGGAAAUAAUCUCCGUAAAUUUUCAGCCCAAUCCAAGAACUUUUAUUUCUGCACAAAAACAACAUCAUGGUAGUUCUGCUGAAAAUAGCGUCAGUAUGGGGUAGUUUCUUUCAAAUCAUGCAAAUUAGAGUCCAAAACAAGAGCGAAAGUGUUUGGAAAAGUAGAUACGUUUGGGACGUAUCAUCAUCUAUCUGCUACUAAUAGACCAGGAGUCCGACAGAAUGUUACCGAAAAACUUUCGGAGACGACAAAAAAGUUUCAGGGAGAAAACCGAAAAUGUUACGGAGAAACCGGGAAUGUUUCAAAGACAAAACUUUAUGCCAGAAAUGUUUCGGAACGUGUCCAAAAUUAUUUAUUUAGGGGGUGCUAGAAAUGUUCUGGACCUUCUGGAAUUUUUCGAAUUAAACAGACACUGAAAAAUAUUUUCCAUGAAAAGUUGUCAUGAAUAGUGGAUGAUGUCACAUGUACCCUAAAGUAGUGGGUGAUGUCACUCGUACCCUAAAGUAGUGGGUGAUGUCGUGGGGUGCCUGUUUGGUCUUUUUGCAUAGCCUCUACCCCUUGCCUCCCCACUAUAAAGAGAGGUGGAGAGAGCUCUCCAUUUCAUCCCAUGUUCUCUCAACACAUGUCAUGCAAUGAUCUAGCUUUCUAUCUCUCUCCCAAAGAAAUAGUUUCGUACAACGAAAGGCUGUCUAGUCUUCGAUAGGGCCUAGUUCUGGACGGUGAAGCCCUACCAGAUAGCUGACACUGAAUGUGUGCAACCCGAUAGAGAGGUCAUAGUUCCGAUCUUAGUUCGAGAGAUAUGUUGAGGUUCUGUCCGAGAAUCUGACUGUGUGCCUCCCGGAGGGUUGUCCGAGUGACUGGUCGAGUGCCUCCCGGAGGGCUGUCCGAGUGCUGAUCAAAUUUCUGUCCGAGGGUCUCCUAAAGGGCUGUUCGGGGGACCGUCCGAGCGAGAACAUCCUCAUGGUUGGGAGGUUGUAAAAUCCUAGUCAUAGGGAUCUGCACCAAUGAUGUCCACCGACUCUCGUUCCGCUACGCUAUGAGUUGGUAACGAUCAAAUCAAACCUUGUAUGCAUCUUCAUAGUGGUCCUGGCCUGGUGUGUAGGUCAGAAAUUUUUUGUUUCCUGUUGUGUUACCCUACAUUAACGAGCUGCCGAACUCCAAGCGGUACGGGCUUGGGUGGCGUUGCUUCCAGGGCGCUAUCGUCAAGGCCCAGGUCCGCCCAAGCCAUCCAACAACCUAUCACUAGUGUCGGCAUUGAAGCGGCAGACCAACCGAGAGCGCCACCUGUGUCGCGUCCCGGUGUCCGCGAUUGUUCAAUAAGGGAGAGACGUUUACUGAACGGGACAGGACAUAUAGAUACCGCGUUUGAGUUGCCUAUCCAUCCGCCUGCCGUCAUUAAACACGCACGCCAGCGGAGAAACCAACUCCGGCGCCCACACUGACACACCGCGCCGCUUGGCCUGGCCGGCAUCUGCUAUUUAAAUGAGGCCACAUCUCCCACAAAGCCGCACAACACCACCUCCCACACAUCCUCCUCCGUGUACCACCUGCGUCGUGACUGCGAGCUCCAACGUGUUUUGGGAGAGCCUCUCAAUGGAGCAGAAGCACAAGCUGGUCGCCCUUGUGGCAGGGCCGCCGUGCAAGGAAGAUAGAGGCCAGCCUGUCGGUCAGCUCCCCGGAGGUCCCCAACAAAGACCCAGCGAUGGAGAAGGGCUCGAACGACGAGUUGGUACCCCUGCCCACGACAUUCCAUGCUGGCUUGACCAUGGAGCAAACACGGGUGCAGUUCAACGACGCCAGCAUGGAGGAGCAUCACCGCCGCAGCCUUUGUUGGCAUUCCGCCAUGCGCAGGAGGAGCUACGAUACAACCUCUCCCUCCUCGAGCGGCACCGGCUAGCGGAGGCCCAAAGCUAUGGCGAGCUCUCGAGCGAGGAGGCCGUGGCGGCCAUAUCAAAGAACCCCAACUUCGCUGAGCAGAAGGCAUUGUACAAGGUCACGCGCGCUCGCACCGCCUGCAACAUGGUCGUGGUACAGCUAGAUGCGAAGGUGAUGCAGACGAUCGCGGACUAGGACGUGGGCAGCUGCGCAUCUUUCGCGCCGCCAACAAUGUUUCGUUGGUGCGGGUUCCACGACGAGGCCGCCCCAUCUACGUUCAUCAUCACCUCACAUCCGUCGGCUACAGGCGGGUCGCAGACUUCGACAAGGAGGAGUAGGGCAUGAGAGACGACGAGGCCUCAAGUCUCGUAAGCCGGUAUGUGUCCCAUGUCCUACUCUCCCUCGUCGGCGACCACACCUUCACUCUGUGGGGCUCAGCCGGCCGCCGGGCAUGGACAUGGCUGCUCGACAUGGGCAUGGACGGGAAAAGCAAGGACUCGGAUGACGUGCGAUGUCUUAGAUUUAGACUAGGUUUAGAUCCGACUAGUUUUGUAAAGAUUUUCGUCCAGUUUAGAUGAAGACCAUCUGGUUUUGCAUGUAAUUGGUCCGGGUUGUUCAAAUCCAGUUUGAAAUGUGUGGGCAUUGUUGGAUGGCCGCCUCCUGUAUCACUGUUCGUGGACAUGAUCGUACACGUCGUGGACAUAUACCGUUUUUGUUUUAGGUUCAGCAUUGGAGAUGCCCUGGGCCUUCGAGUGUAUUCCCUCCACCCAGGUUUAUUGGGGCUCAUCAUAUUUAGUGUCAAAUUUUGACCAUAAAAGUAACUAUUAAAGCACAAACUAUCCAUCAUAAAAAUCAUAUGAUAAAAAUCCUCUUCCGAAUACAGAUCCAAUGAUAUAUUUUUCAUAGCAUAUACUACCUCGUCCAUCCGGAUUUAUUAGUCUCAGUCCUAUUUUGGGUCAAAUUUUGACCACAUAUUUGACUAGCAAAAUGUUAAUGCAUGUCAUCAAAAAAUUAUAUUGUUAAACACGUAUUUGAAUAUAGUUUUAAAUGAUGCAAUAUUUUUUGGUACAUAUAAUUUAUAUUAUGUUAGUUAAAGUAAUUGUCAAAAUAUGACCCAAAAUAUGAGGGGACUGGUAAAUCGGAAUGAAAGUAGCAAAUCAUAUGUCGUUAGUUAUAUAAGAUGGUCAAAUUUUAAUGUAAAAUACAAGAGCGACUAAUUUUUUAGAAAAGGAGGAUUACCCUGGCCUCUGCAUCUCGGCGAUGCAUGCAGCCAUUUUGUUAAUUAUUCACAAAGACCUUUUCAAAGUAGUACAUCAGGUAAUCCGAAGCCACCAUCUUAGCAACCACUGUCGCUAUUCCUGUCCACUUGAUAAAGGGGUGCCGAUAGCCCGAGCUUAAUACCAAACAGACUUCACACCAAAGCCUAACAUAUAAAGCCAGAGGGCCCAACCAAGCCACAUACUGGGUUUAUGGUACAAACUGGUUCGAUGCACUCUCAUGUGUCGUCGCCGCCGUCUUCCACCAAUCCAUCUUCAGAGCAGAAACUAACGUAGCGACCUUGCCAGGCCUCUCUGCCAUCGACGCCACCAUGACGCCAGACAAUGUCCUCCUCCUGCGCGAGUCCAUCUUCGCGCAUCGGACGCCAAGUCUCCACUGCGCCACGCUGCCAAGAUCUGCCACCAUCAAUGUGUAACAUGAAGCACCGCUCCACCAAAGAAGCCGUCCACUGGUCCCUUGAACCCGUGUACACCUCCAAGAAUGACGCCCCCGAAGGGGAAACAACACCAGAGCGCCGCUGUCAUCCGAUCUACUGAUCUAGGGUUUCCCCUGGAGGUAGCAGAUAGAGGUCUGUAACUUCUCCACAGCGAUGCCUUCAAGAAGGUAAUGACACAAAAGAGUGCCGCCAAUGCCAAUCUUAGACAAGCCGCCGAGAAUGAGGUUUUCACCCGGAUCCGCUUGACGAACCAGCAUCAAGCAUCGUGUGCACGGGUCGCCACCGAUCUGUCCGGAGGUCGGACUAUGCAUGGCGCCGACCCGUCCACAAGGCCCUCCAUGCCGCCGCCGUUGAUCCGAGGUCAGACGGCCCAUCGCCGCAGAUCCGAUCGCCGCCGCCGAACGCAGCCAACGCCGCUGCCUGAAGCAAGGCUGGCCGUCGUGCUCGCAGCCAUCGCCGCCGGAGGCAAAGCCGGUCGUCGCGCCGCCGCCGGUCAAGGCAGGGACGCCCACCGCGCCGCCAAGGCCGGAUCGGUCGCGCCUCCUCACACCACGGUGCUCCGCACCAUCUCCAUGACGCAGGAGAGAGGGAGCCCCCCGCCACCGCCAGCGGCCCCCGGGCUAUAGGCCGGCGGCGACGGAGGGGGGAGGGAAGAAAGAAGAGCCCCCGACGGCUAGGUUUUUGUCCCCGCCCGAGUAGCCCGAGCGGGGGCAGAGAGUGUUGUGCGGGGGACAAGAGGGACUAAUAAAUCAGGAUGAGGACAAUAUUACUUCGGGAUACCCUCCCGAAGAACCCCAAUAAUAAUUCUGCACCCAAAGAAUCCAAAUAAAAAUUCUGCACCAUUCUUAUUAUACUCCCUCCGUUUCUUUUUAGUAUGCAUAUAAGAUUUGAUCAAAGUCAAACUUUUUAAACUUUGACUAAGUUUAUAAAAAAGAAUAUCAAGAUUUACAAUAUGAAAUCAAUAUUGUUAGAUGCAUCAUGAAGUUAAUUUUCAUACCAUAUAGUUUUAGUAUUGUAGAUGUUGAUAUUUUUUCCUACAAAGUUGGUCAAACUUUACAAAAUUUGACUUUGACCCAAUCUUAUAUGUAGACUAAAAAGAAACGGAAGGAGUACAAGUGUCAGUAGUAGUAGUGGAACAUUUUCCUUCCAUGUGAGGCAUGUAUUUUCAAGAUAUCAGAUGCGGUAUCUCGUUGGUUGGCCACACGCGUAAACUGGAGCUGGUAGCGCAGUGCACACGCUAGCAAGUGCAGUGGGGCGGCACCCGGGCAGCCUCGCCGUUCAGACUCGUUCACCUGUUUUCAGUAAGUUGUACUACCAUAUGAAAAACUAGGAUAUAUGUUAUCCUUUCUUCUGUGUUAACUCGUGGCCACGGAAUGAUAGGCUGCUGUUAAGUCUAACUCAACUACUACAAAAAAAAAGAUAACAACCACUAGUACUAAUUCGGUCACCAACAAGAAGAUGACGGGUAAUGAGUGCAAUGAAGGGAAAAGAGACGAGCGAAUGUGUGAGCAGCGAGGGAGGCCAGCGGAAACCGCUCGUGAUAGGGAGGGCCCACCGACAGACAGAGGCGCCAACGUACGGCAGCAUGCUCGCCUUUGUCCAGUGGGUUGGUAUGCCUUCCUUUUUGCAUUUACAAUGAACCGAAGAUGGAAUGCAACACGAAUGGAUAGGAGCGUGUCCCUGUGCAUUCGAGUGCCAGUUACUAUAUGCCAAAGCAAAGCAAAGCAAAGCAACGCCACGCCAGAUAAUCCAUCCACUCCACACGGUGGUGGUGGUAGCGAUCCGUCCACUGCUACUCUACGCUGGCUGUUCCGGGGCUUCCUGUUUCCCCUUUUGACCGGAGAUGAGGCAGGCAGGCAGGCAGGCGUGCACAGGGCGGACGAGACUGGGCAGUGGCGCUGGCCCCACGAUUCCCAGACGAUUCUUUUCUUCCCUCCGCCGGAGGUGUGGUGGGUGGGCCCGCCGUCGCCAUGUCACAUCGGCUGUGCGUUUCGCGCGGACGCGGAGCCUACGCGGAUUCGCCGUCAAUUUCUGGCGGGAAAUGGUAUUUACUUUGGCGCCCUCGUUUCAACUUUCAACCCCCUACUCUUCUGCUGCUAGUUUUCUCCAACCGCCGUUUUCCCAAACACUCACGAUCAGCUUAGUACGUGCUGAUACACUGAGAGAAAACGGCGACCAUUUUCCCUAUAUGUAAAUCUUUCUAGUAUUUUGCACUGAUCUCUUGUUCACAUCCAGGUGAACUGGGUCAAAUUUAAGCACGGCGGGGGCAUCCGUGGGCAUUUCUGGAACGCGCGGGCAGUCGCCACGAAAACGAUGGGAUGGACGCAUCAUCAGUUCAGCAUGGCAACAAUGCAACGGCGCUCCGGUAGGUGACAAAGGGGAUCACGUCGUCGUCGGACCCGUCUGCUUCGAGGAGCGUGAAAUUUGCCUACAAAUACUCCUAAAAAUAUCGCGUCGCGAAGCUUCCUGCCAGCUAAUGUCCAGCCCGGCGCGAUCCGUUCGACCUACUCCAUUUGUUAGGAAAUACGUAUCGGAAUAAUAACCCACGACGUGGAUGAGUUCCGCUUUUUCCUUUUUGCUUCUUCUACCUUGACCGAAAACGAAGUGAGAUGGUUUCUCAAGCAACCGUGAUCGAGCACAAUAGACGUGACCACGGGUACAAGUUUGGUCACCAGGCGUCCAAGCCCAACAUGCAUUUCUCGACCAAAAACUAUGAACCAUCUAUUGCAAGGCUGAAAACACAGUAUCUGCGCAUGUACUACCACUAGUUACGUUCACUACCACUAGUUCCAUUUCGCAAACUGACAUUUCAAGAAAUUUACAGCACAAAAACAUGCCUUCAUGAAUUUACAAGACAAAACGAACAUUAACAACAAAAUAAUAUUCCACAUUACACGAUUUUUUACGAGCUAAUUUUACAUGACAGACUCCCACUGUUACAAUCUGCAGAGCAGCGGAAGGAACAGCACCUAGCUAGAACCAUGGACACAGAGACUUCACCGGCCGGAGUCACUGACCAGUGACCGACCACCGGAGACGCCGGGCACAAAAACGCCGGCUUAUAGUCAUCCGGGACGGACUAACCAAACCCUACCCACAAAGAGAACAAAUAAUAGAUCUACACAAUGAACAAGGAUUAGAGACUUAGAGCUAAUCCGCUAAAAGCCCGUGCAGAAUGUCUAAAAUGCCAUCUGCAUCGCGGCGACCCAUUAACCUAGCAUCAUGAAACGCUAAAGACGGUAGUAGUAGUAGCUGACGAACACAAACUGGGUG